rnacentral:lncRNA from 1 species
UUUUUUUGGUAGAGGGCUCUGGUGCAGAUGUGUUCCUUGACUGAGAUGGCACUAAGGCACUUUCAGGAUUUGGAGAUAAACAUCACCCCAUGCAACUUGUGAGUCAAGUCUGCUGCAUGCUAUGAUUAUCAUUUUUCCAUCAAUUUCCAAAAGAUGUUCUUGAUGCAAAUGGGAAUGGGUCAAUUUUUAUGUCAAAAGUAAAGUUCCUACCAUAUAACACCAUCCUUCAAGGUUGGGCUGGUUAUUUUGCAAAUGCUGAUUUUGUUGGUGAAAACUGUCAUGCAGCUUCCAAGUGUAUAUAUCUGGAUCUGCUGAGUUUGCAAGGUCUGAUUUUAUCUGGAUAUCCUGUAAUCUUCAUUUGAUGUUAGUAAUUCUGCUCUCGACACAACAGAGGUGGAUUAAGAUGAUUCUUGAGCAGCUCCUUCUUGCGAUUAUAUCAUUCCUAUUUGUGGAGCAGUGUUGAUGAUACACAUUGGACACAAGUUCUGUUGCCUUGGUUUUUCUUGGUUGUCUAAAAUUUUUGUGGUACAAUUGUAUAUCAUUUUCUUGAUCCUUCUAAAGGAGUGUAACUUCUGGGCUUCUCAUAGGCCUUGUAAUUUCAACUUGCUGCCUAAGUCCCCAGAACUCAGGUCCAAUUGAGCAUCCACCUCUGUGUCAUUUAGUUUUUGUUUAAGCACCUCUAGGUUGGUCUGGCCACUCAUAAUUGUUUAGAUGUUUUUGAGGCAGUAAUAAACUCAAACAUGCCAUUUAUGUAAUGCCAAGCUAUUAUUCUCAGGAGAUGUUGUAGGCAAUUAUUAGUUAAAGCUAUCUUAUAUUUCAUUACAUAGAUAGAGCUUAGAAGUUAAAUCUACUCUUUUCUUUAUUUUCCUGAAAACAUUAAUGUUUUAUUUUUUAUGCUGUUUUUAGGGCAGUGCCAAAAUUCAAUGAGGUUAUUAUGAUCUCAAAAUGUAAUUCUGCCAAGAAUUUUUGUGUAUGAUAGUAUGAUUGAAGCAUCUUUUCUUAUAUUUUUGUUACUUGAGGGCUUUGUGGGAGAACAUUGCUUCUCACUAAAUAUGAUGCUUUGUGAAGGACAAGAUAUUGCAUCUUGAACUAGAAGUAAGGUGCUCAUUGGUUAGGGUUGUGCUGGUGUCUGGGAUUAUGUUGUCAAGCCUAAACCCUAUUGAUGCCCUACCACUCCAUUACCCAUAUAGUUGGAUACACACUUAAGAUUGUUUUUGGUUCACGGCUGUUGGCGGGGUAAGGUUAGGUUGGAAUUGAUCCAGGUCAACUUGGAAUACAUGCAAGUUGGUUUGGAUUUGGGUUAUCAGUCAUGUAUAUCUUUUCCCUUCUCUAUUAAAAAUUAGAUUCUCCAGCUAGUGCUUUUCCAUUUUUUAUCUUGUGGGGAUGUCGCACUUGAUCAGGGGAUUCAUUUUGAGGCGGACGUGCAGCCAAGUAUGUUUUAGCUUUUGAUUUGCUUCUCUGGAGAAUCUAUAUAUAUGAUGGAGCUUAUACAGUUAUACUCAUCUCUCUCAGAACCUUUGAACAAAGAAGUGAGAGAUGAAACCACCAAGCCCAUAUUAAGUCUUCUGUUGAGGCCGAGACAUCAGCAUUUGCAGAUUCAAAUACCACAAGAAAAAGCCAAACACAGUUUUAGACAAGAGCUAGUUGUUGGUUGGAUGCAGGGAAAGGCAAUGGAGAUGGAAAUGUACACAGGCAUCAUACCAUACCUUUGUGGUAUGUUUAAUCAAUCAAGGCGUAGGUGGGGAUUUCAAAGGCUUAGGAUGGGAGACUUGCCUGAACCUGGUCCGAUUCAUCGGAAAUUCCGAAUUGCUGGCAUGGUAGUCAUCCUACUGAGGAAGUGGAGGAAGGAAAGCGAGGCUGGGCAUAUGGCUGAGGUGUAAUGUGCUUCUCUCCAGUUUAAAAUUAGUAGUAGUUGAAUAUGCUUAUGUAAACCAAUUUGGUAUUGCAACAACUUUUACCUAUGGUGUGGAUGUGGCAUGUGGAGUGAGAAUUUGAUUUGGCAUGGCAAUUGAUUCUUUAUUUGAUAUGGAGAGUGGCGUUUAGUUUUUUACAUCUUAUCCUUACAUGUCCAGGGAAUUUUCUCAAGACAGAAAUUGUCCAAAACAAUUUCAAUUAUCUCAAAAAAAAAAAAAAAAAAAAAUCAGCUAAAGUGUCUAUUCAAGAUAUUUUUUCUUUUCUCUCCUUACUUUUAAUAAUAUAUUUUUAUAAUAAUAAAAUUAUUUAAAAUAUAUGUUUUAUCAAACUAAUUAAUUUUAUGUACUAAACUCAAUGUAUAAAAAUAAUUAUUAAUUAAUGUGGAUGUAUUAUUUAUAAAUAUAAUAUUAUCAAUUAAUUAUUUUAUAUAUUAUUUCUAAAUAAUAAUAUUUAUAAAAAUAUAAAUUAUGUUGAUCAGUAAUGUAUUGAAAUAAUACUAUUUUAUAUUAAAUUAGAUACUAAUUAAAAAAUAUUUUGAUCUUUAUCUUGAAUUUAAUUAUUUUUACAAAUAAAAACUAAUUUUGUGUUAUUAUACAUAUUUUUUUUUUUUGUUUUCUUCAAUUAAACUAUAUCAUUUUUAAUUUGUUACAUAAAACAUUUACAAACUUGAAAAAAAGUUAAAACAGUUGUGGAUUUUAUUUUAUUCAAAAUUUUAAAAAUAAGCCUAUUAUCAGUUUUAUUUUAUUUCGAGUGUAUUAAAUUAAAAUUUUAAAAUGAAUAAUUUUUAAUUUGCUUUAAUUGUUAAAUUAAUUUUAUCAGACAAAAUUUAAAAUUUAACUAUUUUAAUCAUAAUUUGAAAACCAUUUCAAGGUAAAAAGAAUAAAAAAAAAUAGAAAAAUAAAUCAUUUCUUAUUUUAUAACUCAUUGAUAUAAAUUAAUUUUGAAUAAAAAAUUAGAUUAAGAAAAUGAAUCAUUAUUCAAUUUGAUAUAAAAUAGUAAUUACUAAUUAUUAUGAAUAAAAUAAUAAAUAAAGUUUAGAAAUUAAAAUAUUUAAUGGAACAAAAAAGUAUAAAACUAAAUUAGUUUUUAAUUUUAAAAAUAGUUUAUUAAAUUAAUUUAAAGAUAAAAUUCAAAAUAAAUACCAAAAUUUUAUUUUUAAUCAAUAUAUAAUUUAAUAUAAAAUAAUAUUUUAUUAAUAUGGGACAAUUAUAUUCAUCCUAAAUGUAAUUUAUACUUUUAUAAAUGUUAUUAUUUAUAAAUAAUAUAUCCAAAAUAAUUAUAAUUAUUUUUAUAUAAUAAAUUUAAUAUAUAAAAUUAAUUAAUUUUAUAAUACAUAUAUUUUAAAUAAUUUUAUUAUUAAAAAUAGGAAAACAUUUUAAAAAAACAAGGAAUUGUAUUAUUUAAGAAAAUUGAAAUCAAUUUUUUUUAAAGGAAAUUCUCUCAUGGAAGAUAUGGAUAUAAUCUCUUUCUAUUUUUAAAAGACGAUUUUAACUUAUAAUUUUUAUAUUUUAGAAAUCUCUAAAUAAUUUUUAUUUUUUUAAGAAAUUGUUUUUUGAUAGAGACUUUUUUUUUUAUUUAUUAAUUUGGAGUUUACAUGAUCCCUUUUUAUUAAUUUAUUUUACAAAUGAUCAAAAACCCUAUAUUUUGUAAUGGCAUCUUAAGGAAUAUUUCAUAUUUAUUUCAUUGGCACAUUUUUAUUUUCUUUUAAUAAUUUGGUGGAAUAGGUGAACUCUGCUGUAGCCUCGCUGGGUAAGCUUGGAUGGAGCUUUCUGCGCCCUCAGCCCUUCUGAGCUACUGUUCUUCGUCACAGGGCCUACAACCACUGAAAGUUAGGGACAGGGUUUCAUACCGAACUCUCGCUGCCACACGCUUGAAAGAGACCAGUCUUCUCUCACGCUUGAAAGAGACCAAUUUUCUCUCUACACCUCCUCUAAUGGAUCCCCUGAGGGUAGUCUCUUGCGCGUCAUCGGUCGAUGAGAAUGGCUCUCCGAUAAUGUCUUCCUCCAUCCGCACAGGUCAAAGCCCUAACUUUCUUUCAGUUUAGUUUGAUUUCUGUUUCGGUGCUUUGAAUUUAGCUGAUAUUGAAAAUGAUGUUAAUGUAAUUAGGUCGAAUUGGAGAGGUGAAAAGGGUUACUAAAGAAACCAAUGUAAUGGUCUCAAUGAACUUGGAUGGUUCAGGCGUUGCUCAAAAUGAUACUGGAAUCCCCUUUCUCGAUCAUAUGUUAGAUGUCAGUACUUUUAAUUUAACUUAUGUUUCUGUUAGGGAAUUUGAUUUGGUGACAUUGGUGUUCUUGUUUUUAUUAUUUAUUUAUUUUUUUCUAUAGCAACUUGCCACGCAUGGGCUGUUUGACGUUUGUGUGAAAGCGACCGGUGACACACACAUUGAUGAUCAUCAUACAAAUGAAGAUGUUGCACUUGCGCUCGGAACGGUAAUCCAUCAUAGUUUUUUGGUUAAUCGGUUCAUAUUUCUAUGCCUAUGAGAAAUUGUAUUAGCUUGGUGUAUUUUACAUACAAUCCAAAAAAUGUGUUCAUCUUAACUUUAUAUUGAUCAUUUUAUUGAUGUGUCUUUGUUAUUACAUGUUUAUUUGUAUGUGCUCAUGCUGUGCGGUACAAUCAACUUAUUAAUUCUCCCGGGACACCCUUUCCGCUAAAUGAUUUAUUAACAUGAAUGAUUUGCUUUGACUCUUGCAGAGUUUGCUGCGUGCAAUUGGUUCAAAGGAAGGCAUUUAUCGGUUUGGUGACUUUUCAGCUCCUUUAGAUGAAGCACUAAUUCACGUUUCGCUGGUAUGUUUUAUAUAUAGGGCAGAAAUUUUUGCAAUUAAAUUUGGCGUUUAUGCUUAUAUCAAUAUUGGAAAGAAAACCUAUAAAUAAAAAAGAAUAUCGAAAAGAAAACUAUUUCAUGGCUAUAAUUCAAAGACGGGUUGACUGGAGUAACCCAGAAGUGGGCCAGAUCCUUCAAAUUGUCUUUUAGAGAGUUAUAAUUAGAGGUGAAGUCUUGGCGUAUAUAAAUUGAAUAUGAAAUGGGUUCAAAAGAUAACUUCAAAACUUAGUUUUAUGAUGAGGACUUGCUUUAUCAUAUGUAGUGGACUUUUCAGAUUAAAGGGAGAGCCCUAAGUAUUUAGUGGUGAGCCUUCUGAGGUUUGAGCUUGUAGUGUUAUGUUGUUUUUGGAAGUGUGGUUGUGGUGUAUCACAUAUUUUAUUUACUUCUUUUAAAGGUUUAAUGUAUGUUCUACCGUUUUACCUAUUUAUGUUUCCUCCUUGGUUCAGGAUUUAUCUGGACGUCCACAUUUAAGCUAUGAUUUACAUAUCCCCACUGAGAGAGUUGGAACAUAUGACACUCAGGUAGUUUAUUUCCCUCCCUUCUACUUCCAUAUCAACUAGCUUAACAUUGUCAGUUGUUACUUCCUCACUAGAGGGUUUGAUGGAACAUGUCUUGCAUGGCUUUUGAUUAAAAAUACUUGUUUAGAAAAUAUUUGUUUUUACUGGCCUAUAAUUCAUUGAAUGUACCCAUUGUUGUGCUGUUUAUCAUCAUUGGUCCAUUUACUUUAGUUUUAGGCUAUGUUUGGGUCUCGGAAAAUUGUGAGGGUAAUAAAAUAGAAAGAAAAAAUAGAAGAAAAAAGAAAAUGGAGGAAAAUAAAAACUAGAUUUAAAGUCAAUAAAUUAUUUUUAUCUCUUACUUCAAAUUUAUUUCACUUAUUUAAAUUUUCUACUUAUAGAUUAAUAAUGUGAAAAUGUAUAAUUCUCUAAUAAAUUUUAAUUAUAUUUGAUUUUCUUUCGUAUUUUCCAUAAUAAAACCAACCAUGAGAAAAUCAUUUUCCUCAAAUAUUUUUUUUCUUUCCCUAGCAUUUUCCAGGAACCAAACAUAGUGUUUAGGGAUUCUGGCAUGCUUAUGAGCUAACAUGUUUUCACUGGCAUUCUUAUCUAGUGAAUGCCAAACCCCUGUAUUUGCAUAUUAUUACUAGAAAUGGAUGUAGCAUCUACCCUGAUGUUCUUUUUAGGAUAUUCUAAACAGCUAGCUAUGGAUAAUUUAACUUGACGGUGAGAAUAAAUAAAUAAAUGGUGUAGCAUUGUAUUUUGGGCUUCAUUGCCCAGCACAGCUGUAUAUUCCUUCCUAUGUGCAAGGAAAAGAAAAAGGAGCAAAAAUAAGUGCAACUAGAGAUAAUAGUAGAGUGGUAUUGCUCAAUUAGAAGGCUCUUUGGUUAACCAGUUGUUGGUUAGACAUCCAUUGCUUGAUCUAUGCCUAUUUGGUAUUCUGGAUUUUUCUCAUAAUUUUCAUGUAUGAAUUGUUCAAUGCACCCUCAUCCUUUACUUGUGGUCUUCCAAUUGGGCACUGAGUUGCUAGGUUGUGUCCUUCGUCCCUUUGGAAGUCCUUUUCCAUUCAAGCAAUGCAGUACCACCCAGAUUUUUGUUUUAGUUGCAUUCUGUUCAAAAUGAUUAGUCAUCCUGGGGUACUUGAUUUUCAUUUGCCAUGGAUAUGUUUUGAGUUGGGCAUGUUUCUUCUUGUGCAUUGUAGAUCUCAGGAAUGAUCGCUUGGAUAAUGAAGUCCAAUGUGGAGAACUGAUACAGUGGAGCAUUUGUAAAUUGUGAUGCUCACAGAUCAUAAUAAGAAAGUGAUUAGGAUGUAUUAGGCGUUGAUUCAUUAAUCCAUCAUGUCGAGCAACUAUACACUUAGCUUGAUUUAAAAACCUUCUUGUUGUUUGUACUGAAGCAGUGUUUGGUGUUUGUUUGAUACCACAUGAUUGAAUGACAUGGGUGAUGGUACCUGGUUUAUUUUAGGCACCAUCCAUAUCUGUUAUGACAUCAGAAACUCCUUUUAUUUUUGCCAGUUAAUAUCUAGUUGUGACCUUGAAUUGUUAAAAUCAAGUAUGUGCAUUCAUACAAUCAUUGGUCUUUAUAUCUAAUGUCUUAAAUUAGUGUCUCUAAGUCAUACACAUAGCAAUUAUGCCUUGAUUUGUCACAUUUAAAAGUGGGUACAGUUUAUUCAGUAGACCACAAUUCAUUUAUAACUUAACAGUAGGGUCCCAAAUGAAGGUUUGCGCAUUGAUACCAGCCUUUUUCCUUUCUCUUGUAAGUAUUCUAAGGAUAUUUUUAAUAAUGUUCCCUAACAUCUCUCCCUUGCUUGGAGAAACUUGACUCAGGUGAGUAAAAUAGAUAUACCUCUCAUAAGGGUCAAAAUUGAGACCCCAAAAUUCAUUAAAGCAAUCUAAGUGCAGUCAGAAAGGCUAAAUGGCAUAAUCAACUAUUCAUAGAAACAAUCCUUCGUCUUGAAAACCAUUUUCCAUUCAUACCCGAGCCUUAUCUUAUCCUAACUCAGUGAUAACCACUAUUCAAAUAAGCGUUUGAAAGAUUGUGAAAUGUGUCAUUAAUGUCUAAUAUAUGAUCAAGUUGAUGUAUUGUAAAUAUGUAGUUGAUAUUAACCUAGUUUAUAGCAUGCCAUCAACAUACAUGUGUCACGUGCCAACUAUCAUCCUUUUUAGGUGUGGGCAAAGUUGGUAUGAUACAUGGGCUAAGAGUAGGUGGUGUUUGUUUUUUUGGCUUUUUACUAAAAGCAAUUUGUUUUCAGAAUUUAGGUUGUUUGUUUUUCUACUUUUUCAUAACUUAUUAUAAACUUUUUACUAAAUAGAAAAAGUCAAAAUAUGUAGCUUUUUCUAAAUAGAAAAAAUAACAUAUUGAUUUUUCUUUACUUUUUAGUACUUAAUAGAAAUAAAAUAUUACAAAAACAAACAACUUAAUAUUUAACACUAUUAAGCAUUAAGGUUCUAUUUAGAUAUAAGUAAAAAAACAAACACCACCUAAGACUUACCUGAAUAAACCCUUUAAAAAGCAACUCCUCAACUUGCCUUUUUUACUCUCUGCAUUCUCUAAGGGAUUUAGAAGGUAUGCUGGUUGGUUAGAUAACUGAGAAUCCUACAGCAAUUCAAUGGCAUGGCUAGCACUAAAAAUUAGAAUCUUCUAAGAUUCAAAUCCUUCAAUUUUAAGGUGAUCUUGCCCUUCACAUCCUUCUUGUACCUAAAGCUGCAUGUUUGUUGAGUUAAGGUUAUAGGGGCAUCAUCUACAUAUAUAUAAUUUUUUAAAAUUUGAAAUUUGCUGCAUCUAACUCUCCAUGAUAGGGCCCAUAUGAUCAAACUUUGCUUGUAUGUUCACAUUUAGGACAUCUAAAAAAAAUCAUACCUAAUCUUAGGUAUUGGAUUCUCAUUUGUUUAUCCUUUUAAUUUAUCUAAUGAAACUCAUUGAUUUUUAUCAUAUUUAGUUGGUGGAGCACUUUUUCCAGUCUUUGGUGAAUACUUCAGGCAUGACACUUCACAUUCGACAGGUAUAAUGAGAGUUUCCUAACAUUUAUUGUAGCAAAUAGUAACUCCUCCAAAUAUUCUUGUUAAUUUAGAAAGAAAACACAUCUCCAUUCAAUGGUCUUCAUACUCCUUGAACUUUUUUUCGGAUCAAUUAUAUGUACUUUUACUGACUUUUAUUACAGUCUGAAUUGUGAAAAUUAUUCUAGGAAAUAUUGAGCAUGCUUUCAGCCAUUUUUAGACCUUUUUUUAAUACUUCUUAAUGAUUUCCUUAGGUAGCAACUUAAACGGAUUUACUGAAAUAUUUCCGUAGUCUUUCUACACAAGUUUGACAGAAAAUUUCAAUGUGGUUGAAUGUAGCUUGCUGGAAAAAAUUCUCAUCAUAUUAUUGAGGCAACUUUCAAGGCUUUCGCUAAAGCUCUUCGACAAGCUGUGGAAUAUGACCCACGCCGUCAUGGCACUGUGCCAAGGUUUGGAAUUUUCUUGUUUUAAAUUGACAUAACAUCUCCUUUGAACACCUAUUAAUCCCUAGCAAAGGGUUUCUAUACAAAUCCUGAUACUUUUGAGUCUACAAAAUCACUGGACUGGUUUCAUUAUUGAAUACUUUGAAAUGUAUGACUACUUGGUGUUAAACAUACCACCUGCUUCAGAAUCAAUUAUUUGGUUCCUCAUUUCCAUUUUUCACCUUUGGACUUGCAUAUAAAAUAUGCAUUUUUAAUUGUUAGAAACCACCUCAUAUUUCCUUUAUGACCCAGUUAUUUUAUCUUCCAAUUCUAUGCUAUCCACAUUUCGAGCUAUUGAAUUUGAGGCAAUAUGUGUAUACCAACAGUCUUCUGAAAUAUAACAGCAAGUUCACUAGAAAAAUGACUUAGUGCUCCCAGUCAUUUGUUAAUAUUUGUAUUGGUAGGUAUUCUUUUAGCAUAUUUACUACCCACUCGGUAGAACUAUUUGGAGAAGAUGAUUGUGCUGUCUGUUCAGUACAGUAAUCUCUUCUCACAUUUAUUUGAAAUAACUAUAAAUGUCAUCAAUUUAUAAUUAUGUAUGGCAUAUAAUACUCCACCUGAAAUUGUGAAGCAUAUGUGUGCAGCUCAAAAGGGGUUCUUACGCGUUCUUGAUUUGUGGAGAUCAUGCUCAUGGAGGAUCAUGCUACAAGCAUCCAGAUUCGUCUUGAUGUUUUCUCAUAGUUUUGGACCCAUAAAGAAAUUUAUCAGAUUCGGUGCAAACUUCAAGAGGCAGACAGUUGCUUAACAUUUUAGUAAUUGAAGUAGUGAUAGUGCAAUAUUAAACAAUAAAUUCCUCUUAAAUGUAUUUAGAUUUUUUGGUGUUCCUGUAGGAGAAACUUGUCGGUGUGAAUGUAUAAAACCUAGGUUGCUUGUAAAAUGGCUUUACUCUUUUGUAUCAGCAGUUAAUUUUAUGGUUUUUGAUUAACUAUUGCUGAUCAUUGGGUGCAGUAAUUUGGAUUUGCCUGAGUUGACAGGCUGUGGGUGAAAUUGAGUUGAGUGGAAUUUGAGCUCAUGAACUAAAACUUUGUGUUUACUUUGGCUGUAGGAGUCUCUUUGCACUGGGAAUUCUUCAUACUCUCAUUGAUUAUGAUUCAUUUGCUGAUAUUAAACUGCCUUGCACAAUGAUUUUGAAUACAUAUAUAAAGAUAUGUGGACCUCAUUGAUACAAACAGUUCCAUUAAAACAAAGCAGUGGAAAUUUUUUAUUUGAUACAGAGUAGAUACAUCGAAGUAUAGCAGGCUAGAUUUGCCAUCCUUGACUGUUGUUCUGGACUUAAUGCAACUAUGCAUCUCAUGGCAAGAAACUCAGGCUACAAAAAUUCUUCAGCUGUGUUUAAAUCAUCCAAUAUUUCAGACUUGACCUCUUCUGGGAGUGCAGCAGAUGGGCCUGCCUUUGAGUAGAAGCUGGCUAAAGACCUGAUUGCUUUCUCUAGCAUAGCAUACGAUUCCUGCAAGUGGGAUCACUAGAUCAAGGAUAUGAAGCAAGCAACUAUAAAUUAUUAAAAUUUCAACAGUCUAACAGUUCAUACUUACCAUAAAAUAAAAUUAAAAAAAAAAAUCUAAUUAUCUUUUUAUUAACAUAUUUUAAGUAGGAGCAGUAGAUUUUCUACACAAGUGCCUUUCGAAUUUCCUCUGUAAAGACCUUUCAACUAUAGUAAGUUAGCAAUAUUUCAGAAAGUUUACCAAUCGAUACUAGACAAAACAUGGGUUCAAUAUAAUACCUAAAAAUGGAAAGGUUGACUACUUCAUCAGAAGUAACGCAAGCCUGACAUGAAAGCGUGAUUAUGGUUCUAAAUGGUUACUUCAGUAGAAAAGUUUAAGGGGUGAGUUAAAUAUGUUCCUACUUUUCUACCAAACUGAAUAAUGUUAGCCUCCACAUGUGAUAUGGAUCGUUAGGGUUGCAUCUAGUGAAGAAAUGCUAUUCCUGCUCAUGGACUGCAGAAAGUCCAUGUGUUCAAUAUAGAUUAGAAGGUUUCAAACGAUACCUAGACUCCAAAAGACAUGCAUUGUUACCUCAUUUCCUAAUCUUUCAGCAAAGUGUUCUGUUCUUGUAUGAUAAGCAGUUGAUGAUAACUGGAGAGAGCCUUUAUACUAAAUCAAAAAUAAAAAGGAAAAAGAAAUGAACAUAUAAUGAAAAAAAAAAAAAAAAAACUGUAGGGCACAAGGACUGCUAAUUUAUAUCAAACAAGAUGGAAAUCUCAGUAUAGCCUUUAAACAAGUUUGUAGUUCAAAAUAUCAGUAUCAACUUGAUUUUGUAACAGGGCAGGUACCCUGAAACAGAAAAUUACCAACCUUGUGAAUUUUUUGCAGCAAUUAGAUUAAAAAUAGGUCCAAAUCGGCUUUAUCUUUUUAGAGCAUGCCACAAUAAUACUGGACCCUGAACUGCAACAUUGCAAGAUGCCUAUAAUACCAGAACAGUUAUCCUUCCUUAUGAAGAAUAAACUUACAUGGAGAACCGUAACUACAGGAAUCCACCUUAAAAACCAAAAAUGUUUUUGUAAGAUGCAUACCUCACUGACUACUGUCUGCUUCCCUCUCCAACUGCUCAAAUACUCUCGGAUUGACUCCUUUGCUGCGUCUGCAGUUCGUCUAAAUUUAGCAAUAUCCUUAGGGUCUUCCUUUAAUGACUCUCGUAGUGUCUUCACAACCUCCCUUGCUGAAUUCAAGUAAGCCUUUGGCAACACUUUUCCUGAUUUUAUUUUCUCAUUAGGAUCAAACAAUGAUUUAAUGGCCCCAACAACACCUUUUUCAUCAUCUUCUUGGCCAUUUGACUCAUCUUCAGCCCAUACUGGCAAUGGCAAAAAGCCACCAUUGAAAGUUAGAAUGGCCACCAGUGAAGCACCACUACCUACUAAAACAUGGCGCCGACUGGAUGGAGAUUCUUGUGAAGGUAGCACAAUGUGACACCUGGAUUUCAGUUUAUCUGUUAUGUCGCAGAAAAACGGUCAAGAAAGACAGGAGGAGCAACUCAGAACAACUGCAUCAAGGAUGGUAGCAAAUGAAGACAUUUUUACUAUUUAAUUACUACAAAAAGAAAAUAAAUAACGGGAUGCAUGGAAAAUAAUGCAUGAAUUAGGAUAUCAGAUAGGCAGAGUUGCCAAAAUAUGAUGCAAGUGGUCUGAUGUUUAUGCUUAGAACUGUCCUUCAGCAGGCAAACAAGAAUAGCAGGCAUUUGUAAACCAAGAUGGAUUAUCCGUUACGAGGAACAAUGGUGAGAAUUAAACUCUAGACUGACAAUGUUACAAAAUUAUUUAUUCAAUUUUCACUGCAGGUAUUGUUGGGAGAAAUAACCAAUCACUCUAUCGAUUAUGUAUAUCAUCAGAAACUCAGAAUAUACAUUGGUAAAAAUGAAUUCCAAUUUUUGAUAAAACAAUGGAGAGAACUCCACCCCACACUACAGACAUUAUUAAUGCAGGAAAAUACAUACUUACAUUCAUGAAUAUAUGAGUUUUUCUCAAUUGGUUUAGGAAUCAUUGGGGAGCAUAUCUUCAUUGCAAGAAAGACAGCCAUCCUUAACCUUAAUCCGAGUCAAGUAGCUAUAUCCAGUGCAUCCUACACAAAAACAGCCAGCCAAUAAGCACAAAUCUUUGUUUCAACUACAGAGUUAACAUUUUGUUCACAUAUUCUCUAAGAGAUACAAAUAACUUCCAAAGGCGAGAAAUUAAAGCCCUAAUUUCUUGCAAAAUACAUGUAAGUUCACCAUCCUUCCCAGAUUUAACUUUCAAAUGAUCCACAGCAUCCCAAAGUGAGAGUUGUAACUUUACCCAUCAUUCUUUUCCCUUGAGUUUCAUUACUUACCUUUCAUUCAAAUAAGAUUAAUUUGACACCAUACCAACCCCAAAACCCCACAAAAAACUUCUGAAAACCCAGGAGCCCUUUAAUUAGAAACAAAAAAAAAAAAAGGACACAUAUGAGCAGAAUCAAUAAGACGAAUAAACACAAUGUUGGUGAAGAGAUUCCAAAUUCUUCGUAAGCAUAAGGGCAUGCAAAACACAUAAAUAAGAAGAAGAAUUAAGCACAAAAAUUGGUGUACAGAGUUUGAUACCUCACAUACUCCUCUUGCCCUUACUUUCUCUGCCUCAGCUUCUGGGCUUUUGAUUCGUUUUAUCCAAAAAGGCCGCGUGAGGGGCUUCUCUUAAAAGAAGGGUAAAUGAGUCAUUUCGUCUAUCAAAUCGCAAGAACCAUCCAACGGCUCUUUUCGCCUUCAGAGAACGGGUCCCACGGAAAAUACGGUAGUCCCGCGCAACACUCGAUAACCUCACUCUAGGGUUUUGGGUUUCCCCUUCCUCAUCCUUUAAAACCACGGCUGCAUACUUCCGUAGCCCUUUCUCUCACCUUUGAGCCCUAAUCCUAACCCUAGCCAUGGUGAGUGGGCUUGUUUUCAUUUCUGUUAAAUCAAUUCUUGUGUCGAAUAUGGUUGUUUGUUGUUAUGUUAAUGAAUUGGAUUUUGCAGUCUCUUGUUGCAAACGAGGAAUUUCAGCACAUUCUUCGUGUGCUCAACACCAACGUCGAUGGGAAGCAGAAGAUCAUGUUUGCCCUCACUUCCAUCAAGGGUAUUGGUCGCCGUUUCGCCAAUAUCGUCUGCAAGAAAGCCGAUGUCGACAUGAACAAAAGGUCAUUUUUUUUCAUCUCUCCACGUUUUAAACUUCAUAUGGAACUCGGAUCUAGGAUUUAGCUGAAUCAGAUAUUCAUACAUACGAUAUGAACAUAUUAGCAGUCUGUAUUCUUAAAUUUGAGCUGUGGAAUCAUGGUUUUUUAUGGGCUAAUUUAAUUUAACUUUGGGAUAAUUGGUUGUUAUCUCUUUCCAAAUGAAAUAGCGCACAAUCUCAGGAUAAAGGGAUUGUAUAUCGACUCUUUUGAAACUCUGGAUGGGUGGUAUUGUUAAGAUAAAAAUGAACAUUGUUCGAUUAUCUUUUUUUGAAACAUCGGAAAUCUGUUGAUGGGAAUCGGGAAUUCCUGUAAAUUCAACUGCUAAUUAGUCCUAAAAUUUUAUUUUUUGAACUCAAAAUGAACAUGAGCUGCAUUUGCUCUCUUUGCAUGUUUGAAACAUUGGAACUCUAUGGUGCGUGCUAGAAUCUUUUUCUCAGUUCAGAGACUUGCAAAACCCAAAUUUCUAUAUUGUUUUAUGUCAUCAUCGGAAUUGAAUUAACUUACAUGCUAGUUUGGUAGUAGAUGGAUUUUGGUCUCUACUUUCUAUUCUUAUUCUUUGUUAUAUUUGAAUUUUUGGCAUUACUAAAAUUUUCUAAAUGGUUUACUUUAGAGCUGGUGAACUAUCUGCUGCUGAGCUCGAGAACCUGAUGGUGAUUGUGGCGAAUCCUCGUCAGUUUAAGAUCCCUGACUGGUUUCUGAACAGGAAGAAAGAUUACAAAGAUGGUAGAUAUUCUCAGGUUGUUUCUAAUGCAUUGGACAUGAAGCUCAGGGAUGAUCUUGAGCGUUUGAAGAAGAUCAGGUAAUCCAUCCUUUUUUCAUCUAUUACUUUUAUCACUCUUUGAAGAACAUGGUGCAAUUUUUUUUUCAUAAAUUCCUAAAGUCAUCAAAUUUGCAUUUUGGAUCGAAUUGAACUAUCUUUGUGGCUAAAUCUCUAAAUUUGAUUCAUAGUGGUUAUUUCCCUGGGAGAAUUUAGGUGUUAGAUUUGAAGUUUCAUCAAUGGUGUUGUUUUUCUCAUAAAUGCUUGGAAACAUUUGACUGAACACAGCUUCUUGCUUACAUUUUGAUGCUCUUUGCUCCAUCCUUCUGUGAGAAGACUGAAAAUUUAGAAUAACUUUUUUAUGUUUAACAUUUGCAAAUAUUGUUUUAUGUUUUCUAAAACUUUGUCCCUCUAUUUAGUUGUUGCUCAUAAGGCAGACCAGAUAACCCCCACAAUUCAAUGCCUUAGAUGUUUGAUAUGUCAAUCUUGUUGAGUUUGCUUUUCUGUUUUGGCUAACAAUUUUCUUUAUCUAUCAAUAAUAAGAUGAUGAUUAUAUAUGAGCUUGGCUACUAAGGCAGCAACAAUUCUUUUAUUCAUUUUUCUCAAUUUCUCUUUUGCCCCUCUAUUUAAAGUGUUAAUUGGAAUUCACUUGAGCCCUUAAAAGGGUUUUAACCAUACCAGGACUUAAUAAAAAAAAACCUAUGUAAUUUAUACCGAAAGCCUAAAAAGCAUAAAACUCAUUAAAAUUCAUCGAAUAUUGGAGCUUAAGCCUCUUAUAAUUAGAUAUCAAGGGCCCACAAAGGCCAUAAACCCAUUAAAACCAUUUUGAUAUCUACGGCUUAAGCUGCAACAACCUUGAGGCCAUAGUCUUAAGGCUAUGAGCCUCGACAAGGUGAGGCUUAAGCCUCAAUUACCAUAAAUGAGGUUAUAGGCUCUAGGCUAAUUCUUAGAGCCUAGCCUCUAGACUAAUUUGUAGAGCCCCACCUUGAGGUAAGCCUUAAGGCAUAAGCCUCGAUAGCCUUUUAAAACACAAGUCAAGGCUUAAUAAAUUUCAUCACUAUUGAUUUUGAGUUUACAAUGUUAAAAGAACUAUAGCAACACACCGCUCUGAAUUGUUUUUAAAAAUUUAUUUUUUGUUAACUGCUCGUGAGCAUUGCCUACUUAUUUUCACUGCAUAUGUAUCCAUCUGUUUAUAAGAGGUGAUAGGGGCAGUUAACACUGAUAUCAUUUUCAAUGGACAGGAACCACCGUGGUCUUCGACACUACUGGGGUCUACGUGUACGCGGACAACACACCAAGACAACUGGCCGCAGAGGGAAAACUGUUGGUGUCUCAAAAAAGCGUUAAAUCUCCCUUUCCUGGAUUUCCUGUUCCUCCUGCGAAUUUUGUUUGCUUUCCAAUUUUUCUCAAGUCCAUCAUGUCUCUAGUAUGGUUGUUCAGGUGAAUGCAUAUGGUAUUCCCGUUUCACUUAUCUUUCAUCAGUGUUCUCCUCGAUUGCUUGAUAGUUAUUCAAGAGAGGGUUUUGAUAUGGUAUCCGGUUACAUUAUUCGCUACUGUUAGUGAUAAAAGAGGUCUCUGGAUUUGAAUGUUCAUUCAUUCACAUGUUGAUUUUGGAUUAUUCAUUCUUGCAAGCACCUUCACUCACAAUUCAUAUAACGGAUUGUCUCUACUUAGUUGGUUCUUGUUGGUGUAACCUCACGCAGGGUGGCUUCCAUAGAAAUUGUAGAUGGGUCAAAACGCAUCCCACUCGGAAGGUUUGCCUUACAGAAUGCUUACAUGAAUGUAAAAAUUCUGCGACUUAUAUUAAAAACAUAAUGGUUUUUAUUUUUAAGAAUAUAUGAUAAAUCCUACAUAGCAGUUCUUAUAUUUUAUAUAUAAUUUAUAAUUAUUUUUUGUUUUUAAAGAUAAAUAAUAAAAAAUGUAUUCGAACAAAGCACUUUUUACUUUAUUUUGUUUUUGAAUUUUUUUAUUAUAAUCUUUUUUCAAGUCAACUCUUCAAUAGAUAAAUAAAAUAUUAUUUUGUUUUUGUUAAUAUGGACAAUAGAUUGUUUUAAGGUGUUUUUAAAAUCUUUUGUCAUAAUAAAAUUCUUAUCUUCAUAUUUGUAGAGUAAGGAUUUUUUUAAUUCUUUAAAAUAAUAAAAAUUUAAAAUGUAUGUCAUUUCUGUGAACUAUGAAUAUUAAAAACAUUUUCUUUAUGUUAUGUAAGAAAUAAUUUAGAGAUGAUCCAAAUGUUUUAUUAAGUGUCUUUGGAUAUAUUUCUUAUUGUUUUUAGAUGAAUAGAAUUUAUAAAACAAGGUAUGGAUGCAUAAGUUUAAGAGCCAUGAUUCUAAAUAUUCGUGCAAACACAACACAAUAAUAUUAUUUGAAGAUAACGUCGCAUACAUUAGAGAUGAAAGAAGAUCAUAUUAAAAUAAAUAGAAUCAAACAUAGUUCACCAUUAAUACCACCAGGCAAAAAUUGACAGUAUCUUCUAUUAUGUAUGCUCUAUGAAACCCUACUUCUUCCAUGAUAUGUUCUUUUAUACACAAAUUUCAUAAAAGUGGUAGAAUUGAUAUUCAACAAAUAUAUUCAAAUGAUUACCUAAUAAACAUAUUUGUAAAGACGUUAUCAUUUUAACAUUCAAAAAAUUAAUACAUAAUAUUAUAAUGCAUCAACUCAAGACUUUUUCUUAUUGAACUUUUGAGGAAAGCAUACUCUUGUGUCAGUAUGAGGGGUGGUAUAUUUAUAAAAGAAACAUAUGCAAGGGAUGUAAGCACAUUGGAUUUUUCUUUAUUCAUGUUUUCUCUUAUUAGGUUUUUCUCAUAAAGUUUUUUUGUACUCCUAAUUUAUUGAAACAUUAAUAAGAAUAUUGUAUUUUUUUUUCUUUCGCUAAGUUUUUCUCAUAAACUCUUUACUAGCAAGGUUUGUUGCAAGUUUUCUUGUGUAACAAUCUAUAUAAGUUAGAAUUUUGAUUGUUAACUAAACUAGACACAUAAUUGCAAGCAUAAAAUAAGGAAAAGUAAGAGAUUUUUAACAUGAUUCGGCAAUUAAUGUGAUUUUUACAUCUAUAAAGUGCAACAACGCUCAAGAAUUCAUUAAUCAAACAAACAAGAAUGGGUAUAAUGGUGAAGCUCUUACUCUCUUCUCAAUUGUGGUUACAUUCUAUUUUUUUUUCUCUAUAUAAAAAAAUAAAAGCCUAAAUUAUAAGAGGGUUAGAAUAUAAUAGGGCCAAAUUCAUCAUUCAAUAAAUAAAUAAAUAAUUCCAAAAGGCGUUACCCCCUUAAACCCCUAUGAGUUUGUUGGGUAAUUCGAUCCCCACAAGCUCAAUCAUAAGCUUGACCCUCGACAUCCCUUACGAAGCACAACAAGAUCAAUUUUGGUUUCAUAAUUCAACAAUCUUCCACUUGAACACUAAAACACAAGUAAGCAUUCUCUUUCAAUUAUUAAUAAGUAUAGUACGCUCAAACAACCUGUACUCACCAUUGGCCCGCCAAAACUACGCACAACUCCAGUUUCUUUAUUAUCAUUGUUUUGGUCAACAUGUCAGUUGAAUUCUUCCUAUCUUGUAUCCUCACAAGUGUUAACACUCCAUCUUCAAGCAAAACUUAAUGAAGUAAUAACAAAAUACUAUAUGUUUAGUCUUGAAAUGAAAUGUUGAAUUUUUAGCCAAAUGUUUUCCAUUUUGGCUAUUACUAUACAAAACUUUCAUUACCCAUUUGACUCCUAACUUUGCCAACAAACUCACCAACCAAAUAAUCUUUUUGCUAGCUUAAUAAUUGUAAACUUUCUAAGUUUUGAUUAAGAGAGAUGACUUGUUCUUAAAUUUUGAUUGCAUAAUUUUGAAUCAGUUCAAAUUUUCUUUGUGUAACAACCACAUACUCUAUUUCAAUUGUAGGUUAAACAACAAUCUUCUACGAUUGAGAAAUCUAACUAAUAGCAAUAAUACCCAAAGUGAACAUGUACCUUACAAUGCUUCUUCUACGGUCUAUCUCACCGACAAAACCAGCAUUCACAUAUCCUUGCAAUUUCAACUCACCACUUCUGAAGCAUUAACACUUUUUCUAUAAUACAAGUAACUAAGUAUUCAUUUCAAUACUUCCCAAUAUUGCUUACCUAGAUUUGACAUGAAUCUAAUCGUAAUGAGACACCAUAGCAUACAUCAAACUUCUAAUGGCUAAGGCACCUUAGCCAUGAAGUCUUUUUCCUCGUCUAUUUGUGGGCAAUGCUCCUUAGACAAGUUGAAGAGAUUUGUUAAAGAUGUUCUAACUACCUUAACAUCACUCAUGUUGAACAUUUACAAUAUCUUAUGAACACACUUAACCCAAGAUAACAACACAGUGUAUGUUUGUUUGUCUUUACUAAUCCUCAUCCUAAGUAUAUACUUUAUUGCAAAGUCCUUCGCCUCAAACUCAUUGGACAACUGUUUCUUCAAUUUGUUGAUUUCAUCUAAAUUUACACUAACUACUAACAUAUCAUCAACAUGAAGUAGCAAAAUAAUGUAAUUAGAAUCACUCAACCUUCCUGAGAUAACAAAAUAGUUUGCAUUGCACCUAAGAUAUCCAUUAUUUUGCAUGAAAUCAUUGAACCUUUUAUACCACUAUCUCGGGAUUUGUUUUAACUCAUAUAGGCUUUUUGUCAAUCUACACCAGAUUUUAUUUACUUUUCACUACAAAACCCUCUAGCUACUGCAUAUAUAUUUCCUUUUCCAAAUCACAAUGGAGGAAGUUGUCUUCACAUCUAAUUGCUAAAAAAAGUAAACUCUCUGUUGCUACAAUACUAAAAAUAAAAUGAAUAAUAGUAAGUUUUACAAUUGAAGAUAAGAUGUUUGUGUAGUCAAUCCCUUAUUUCUAUUGAAACCCAUUGACUAUCAAUCUAACCUUAUAUCUAUUAGAGCCAUCAUACUCUUGUUUAACUUGAUACGCCCACUUAUUAUGACAAGCUUUCUUAUGUACUCAUACCUUAGCUAGCUUUCAAGUUUUGUUAGAAAUAAGAGACUUUAUUUCAUAUUUCAUUGCAAACUCCUACUUACUAGUAUUUUCCACCUGACAAGCCCCAUCAUAAUAUUAGGUUCACCACCAUCAAUUAAUAGCAAAUCAUCCAAAUACUUCAUAUUUGAUACAUAUUAAGCCAGAUGAUGUCCCACUAAGUAGUAUGACAAAUAAGACAAGCCAUAAUCAUUAUAUUGAGGAAAACAUUGCAUAAGGUGUUUUCAACUUGUACUAGAUUAGUGGUUGGGUUGCAUCUCUAUCCUUAUGCAAGACUUUCUCAUUUAAUAUGACAUCUUUGUUUUGAACCACUUUCUUAUUCUAGUCAUCCCAAAACUUAUAAGCAAACUAAUCAACACCAUAACUAAUGAAAAGUAUAUUUUAGCAAUUUAACAUCAAGUUUGUUUUUUCCAUGAUCACUAAUAUGUGCAUAUAAGACACAACCAAAUACCUUCAAAUGAGAAAGCUUUACCUUUCUUAUAGUCCGUACUUCUUCUCGUAUUUUGUGCUUUAAUAGUGUUGAUGGUCUUGGAUUGAUCAAGUUGUUCUAUUGAUUGCUCUUGCCCAUAACUACUUUGGCAACCUUGUCCUAUAUAUACAUGUUUCUAGCUCUCUUAGUCAGUGUCUUGUUCAUUCAGUCUACUAUAACAUUUUGUUAGGUUGUUCCUAGCAAAGUCUUCUCCCAUUUAUUUUCAUUUUCAUAACAUAUAUUCUUGAACUUAGAGCCUCAUACUUCCCACCAUUAUUAGACUAUAAAUUCUCGACUGUCAUACUCAUUUCAUUAUCCACUAUUGCUUUCUAUCUCUUGAAUACAUCAAACAUCUUUGAUUUGUGCCUCAAAAAAUAUACUCAAACUUUCCUUGAAUGGCCAUCAAUGAAGGUCACAAAAUAAGAUCUUCUACCAAUUGAUGAAAUUGAAGUGAGUCCCUAAACAUCUAUGUGAACUAACUUAAGUCUUGCUUCUUUUAGAGUUCUUAUAACCUUCUUAAAGCUAACUCUUCUUUGUUUCCCAGAUAUAUAGCUUUUACGCAUAUCAACGUGAAUUAACUUUAAACACGAUACCUUCUCAUUCAAGUGCUUAAUUUCUAACCCCUUAGUACUCAUGUGGUUGGGCCUCAAAUGCCACAGAUUCAAAUCUUCUGUGCUCCCAACAAUUGUAAUAAACUUACAUCUAUUUGUUGUCAUGUAAAGAGUACCACUUUUCUUGUCACAAGCAACAAUCAUCGCUUCUCAUGAGAUUUUCCAUAUGCUACCUGCAAAAGUUGUUAGAUAGUUAUCUUUCACCAACAACCCAAUAGAAAUAAGAUUAUUCCAUAAGUUUAAAACACGCCUCACGUUAUAUAGAUUCUAUACAAACCCAUUCAAUUUGAUAUGCACUUCACUUUGCUAAUAAGAUCGCGCAUAUCGUAAUGACCUAGAUACAUUUUUACCAAAUUACCUAAGACAUUCUCAAAUAAUUUUUUACUUGAGGUUGCAUGAAGCGAUGCCCUUGAAUCCAACACCCACAAUUUUGCCUGGCUCUCUAAAGAGAAAAUAAAAGCAUUAUCUAAUUAUUUCAACACAACAUUUGCAGUAGUUUUGUUGCCACUAUCAUUAUCCUUUCUUGUCAACCUUGAAUUCAUUAUGAUAAUAUCUUGUUUUUGCAGCUUUUGUUGUUGUUGGAACUAUGUGGUAUGGUUCAACAACUACCCCAAUCGAAUUACCACAAUGCCAACAUUCAAUAUCUUUCUUACUCUUCCAUUGUUGGGAAUUUCUUGAUUUUAACCUAUUUUCCUAACAAGAGAUAAAAAAUUUUAUGACAGAUUAUUCUCCAUCUGUAUCUUCUAAAAAGAAAAAUUCGUGCCAUCAAAUUUCUUGAUUUUGUAUGAAUCUUUCUUUGAUUUUGUUACUUUUGCUUAAAUGAUGAUUAGUCGAACAUGUCAAGCCUAUGAUUUGUGAACCUAGGUGCUUUGAUACUAGUUGUUAACCAAACCACACUGAUCGCUCAGAUUUUUUGUCGUUUGUUGGAUCAAAACAAAAUUUAUAACCUAAUUCACUCUUCUAUAGCAAUUUGUACCCGAUCAAAAAUUGGCUUUAGUACAAACUACUGUAGCAUAGUGGUUUUUAGGUAUCGUCCACAAGGAUGGAUUAUUCUUGGUGAUUAAGGCUUGAAUGAGAUGAUAAGAAGUGAUUGUGAAAAAGUGAAAUCAACUUGAAAUUGCAUGAUAAAAUUCCAAAUUAACAAUGUAUUCAAAUUGAAUUGAAAAUGAAGUUUAAAAGAGAAGAAAAUUUAUAAGAGGUGAGAUUCUCGGAGUUAGGAUUUUCUAGAGAGCAAUUUCCAUGGUGAAUGGGUGUUAAGAUCUAAUUUUCAUCAAGUUAGAUUGAAAACCUAAAUUUUCAUCUAAACCGAUUUUUGAUUUAACUUUAGNNNNNNNNNNNNNNNNNNNNNNNNNNNNNNNNNNNNNNNNNNNNNNNNNNNNNNNNNNNNNNNNNNNNNNNNNNNNNNNNNNNNNNNNNNNNNNNNNNNNNNNNNNNNNNNNNNNNNNNNNNNNNNNNNNNNNNNNNNNNNNNNNNNNNNNNNNNNNNNNNNNNNNNNNNNNNNNNNNNNNNNNNNNNNNNNNNNNNNNNNNNNNNNNNNNNNNNNNNNNNNNNNNNNNNNNNNNNNNNNNNNNNNNNNNNNNNNNNNNNNNNNNNNNNNNNNNNNNNNNNNNNNNNNNNNNNNNNNNNNNNNNNNNNNNNNNNNNNNNNNNNNNNNNNNNNNNNNNNNNNNNNNNNNNNNNNNNNNNNNNNNNNNNNNNNNNNNNNNNNNNNNNNNNNNNNNNNNNNNNNNNNNNNNNNNNNNNNNNNNNNNNNNNNNNNNNNNNNNNNNNNNNNNNNNNNNNNNNNNNNNNNNNNNNNNNNNNNNNNNNNNNNNNNNNNNNNNNNNNNNNNNNNNNNNNNNNNNNNNNNNUAAAAAGGACACUUGGCAACAUUAUAGAGGUCUUUCCGGAUGCUUUUUUCAUCAAGGAAUCUGGAGAGAAAUGCCCUUUCGCACGAGCCCCAAGUGAUCCCGCAUGAUGGUGCGAAGUGAAGAAUCAAUCAGCUGGAAUUUCGUUCUUCUGGAGCGUUUCGCAUGACUGUGCGAAAAUUUCGCAUGGUCAUGCGAAAUCACUUCUUCACAAUUUCCUCAUAUGCUGCAGCCAUACUCUCUCUGUUUCAUUUCGCAUGAUUGUGCGAAAAUUUCGCAUGGUCAUGCGAAAUCGAAAAUCAUGCUAUUCCGGUUCUUCUUUGCAAAUUCUCUCAUUUGUUCAUGUUUAAUCCAUCUCCACCACCUUCAAUUAAGCUCCAAAGCUUGGUCCAAGUGCAUUUCCUCUUCCUCUUCAUCCACAUUAUGUAUCCUCCUCCAUUCCAUUUUCCAUUUGUCACUCCAUGCUUCAAAAAUCACCUUAAAAUAUCUCCAAAACUCAACAAAGAACCAUUAGAAUCUCUUGCAAGGGUAGCAAUGUAUUACUUGGGCAUAUUAGGCAUAAUUACUACUCAAAAGGUGUGAAACUCAUGAAAGUUAGUAUCUAAAAUAUGUGGUUUUUGAGUAGUAAUCAUUCCCCCCAACCAACACAUUGCUAGUCCCUUAGCAAUGGUAUAACAAAAAGAAAGAGAAAAUUACUCAAAAAGAAAAUCCUACACUCAUUUGGAAAAUGUGUUUGAAAAUCCCAUAGCACAAAUGCUCAUAAAUGAAACACACCUCACCAUCCAUAGGUGUCACCAAAAUCUCAAGCUCAUUUACUAUCUCUAAUAGAAAAGACAUCAUGCAAAUCAAAGUGUCAAAGAUAUAUCCAUUUUCAACUCCCCAAAAUGAUAUUUCCAAACAAGUCUUGAGUGAAAUUAAACUAGCCCCCUAAUAUAUUAUUCAAAACUAUUCCUCCCCCUAACCAUGCCUAAUUUAUCUUAAGCAACAAAAACCACUCUUUCAUAGGUCAAGAACGCACCUUUUUUUUUUUUUUUUUUUUUUUUUUUUUUUUUUUUUUUUUUUUUUUUAUGAAAGAUCUAAUUGUAGGAAUGCAAUGCUAAAGGUAUCUCCAAGUAUACGGUCCAUGUAGCGGGGAUUCAUCGAUGACUCCCAACCAUAAGGCAUAGGGCACCAAGUUUAUAGGACUAAUUCAGCCACUAACUCCUCAGACUUCACNNNNNNNNNNNNNNNNNNNNNNNNNNNNNNNNNNNNNNNNNNNNNNNNNNNNNNNNNNNNNNNNNNNNNNNNNNNNNNNNNNNNNNNNNNNNNNNNNNNNUUCCCCCCCACCCACCCCAUGGUAGUCCCUUUGCAAUGGUUUACCAAAAGAAAGAGAAAAUUUCUCAAAAAGAAAAUCCUUCCACUCAUUUUGAAAAAGUGGUUUGAAAAUCCCAUAGCACAAAUGUUCAUAAAUGAAACACACCUCCCCAUCCAUAGGUGUCACCAAAAUCUCAAGCUCAUUUACUAUUUUUAAUAGAAAAGACAUCAUGCAAAUCAAAGUGUCAAAGAUAUAUCCAUUUUCAACUCCCCAAAAUGAUAUUUCCAAACAAGUCUUGAGUGAAAUUAAACUAGCCCCCUAAUAUAUUAUUCAAAAAUAUUCCUCCCCCUAACCAUGCCUAAUUUAUUUUAAGCAACAAAAACCACUUUUUCAUAGGUCAAGAACGCACCCUUUUUUUUUUUUUUUUUUUUUUUUUUUUUUUUUUUUUUUUUUUUUUUAUGAAAGAUCUAAUUGUAGGAAUGCAAUGCUAAAGGUAUCUCCAAGUAUACGGUCCAUGUAGCGGGGAUUCAUCGAUGACUCCCAACCAUAAGGCAUAGGGCACCAAGUUUAUAGGACUAAUUCAGCCACUAACUCCUCAGACUUCACCCCGGACUCCACAAUUUAGGAUCCAAUACCUUAGCACCUACAAUCGAGCUCAUACUCCACCUAUUCACCCAUGUAGCGAGCAUUGAGGUCGGUGGCUCCCAACCAUAAUGGCUUAGGGCACCAGGUUUUAAAGACCUUUGGGCCAUAUACCCCUCGGACCUUGCUCAGGUUUCAAGGAAAGCAUAACUCAACCUUUUUUUUUUUUUUUUUUUGAUGAAUUGGGCACAUUGGCCUCUUCUUAAGGUGUCUUAACUCAAUUUAAAAGUGAUUCAACUUGCUAAGACAAUUGGGUCCAAGUCUUAGGGUUAGAUUAGUCUUUCAUCUUAUAUCAGGGGUCUAGAGUGCACAGUGUGUGUCAAGACUCAAUUAGAAAAAAAAACUUGGGAAGAUGAAAACUUCAAAGUCAAAUCAAACUCAAUCAACAUAACAAGUUUUCUAAGAUCAAGCAAAUGAGCUGAUAUUCCAAAUCAACUUCUUUCAAGCUAGGUAUGCUUAUUUAUCAAUCAUAAGUGCUAUGUUCUUCUCAAAAAAAAAUUACCAAUUAAAAAAAAAAACUAGUUAAUACACAAGCAAACAAAAAGAAAAAAAAAUCUAACAACCAAUUCUAAAUCAACAAAAAACCAAAAGUCCUUCCUUUCCUAUCCUCCCCCCAACCAAACUAAACAUUGUCCUCAAUGUUUACCAAAAAAAAUGUAAAGCAAGGAAGGGAAAAGUACCUGCAAAGCAUUGUUUUCCAGCUUCUAUAACUGUGACAAAACAAUAUAGAAGUAUAAGUGUGCUAGGAAAGGAGAAAAAUAAAAAAAUUGAACACUAAAAAAAAUGAAGUCAAGGAGAAAAGUGAGGGCACUCCCUAUCCUCAAGCAUAAGAUGGAUGGGAGGGGAUGAUCUCUGAAGGUGUCAAAAUGGUGGUGGGCACUGUAGACUCCCUUGUUGUAGAAUUUGUCUCUUGUGUAGGUGGGAUGGACAGAGGAUGAGCAUCAUGAACACUAGCUGGCUUCUCAGAAGAAGAAUUCCAUUGCUGGACAGCCAUGGUAAGUUCAUCAACUCUUUGGACAAGUUGCCGCUGAGUGAGCUGGAUGUUUGCUUGAUUUUCUUGAAUCAUAUCCAAGCGAGCUAAAAGUUGAUUGAAUGCUUCAGUUGAUAUAUGGACAUAGCCAUCAGAAGUUGAUGGGCCUAUGUUUGGGGUAGAGGAAAGGCUAGCCAAAAUAUGUGCAGCUGUAUCCGGAUUUUGGGGAGUAGAAGUAGCUCCUCGUGUGGUGGCAGCUGGUGGUCUUGGGGGUGUAUCUUCUCCAUCACCAAAAUCUUCAAGGAUCAAAUUCGGAGGAGGUACAUAAUGAUGUUCAUUAUCAGUAGUCAAUGAGGCGCUUGUGAGAGUGGACUCGGUUUUGGUCACACUACCUUGCCAUCUGGAAACAGUAUAGACUUCCCUACAAUGAUGUUUCUUUUCUUUAUCAGGUUCAGUAGGGAAGCCAUAGUACUCCAAUAUGGUGCCCAACAUGCGCGGGAAGAAUAGUGGAUAUUUCUUGGCUCUUUGCAAUUGCUUUAGAUGUACCUUAUCUUCAAAGUAGAACAGGGCAGCCAUGAAUAAAUCAGCAGGUGUCCACCAUUGUCCACUGAUAAUUCUGAAUAAUGCCUCUAGGAUUUGUUCCCGCCUUUGCAUUGCAUGUUGGCAAGGAUAGACAUUGGAGCGUAGGACAUGAUCUAAGAACCAAAAUUUUGAGUCUAUUUCUCUCCUCAGCACUGCAUGUGUGUUGAUGGAUUUUCCGGAUGGAUGGAAUGCAUGAGGCAAAGGGAGAAGGAGUUUUAAUAGCCCAACACCAGUGUGCAUGAUCAUGCAAAAACAAAGGAGUCUUCAUGCAAAAACAGGGGAGUCUUCAUGCCAAAAACAGGGGAGUCUUCAUGCCAAAACAGGGGAGUUCUCAUAGCUUUGGAAAUGUGCAAAACGAGUCUCUGUCCCAGUUCGCAUUAUCAUGCGAAAUUCUCGCAUGACUGUGCGAAAAUGAUAAGGGAAGUGUAAAAUUUUUUAACCCUCUGGACUAUUUCGCAUAACUAUGCGAACAUUUCGCAUGACUAUGCGAAAUCCAGCUUAAGCACUGAGGUAAAAUUAACCCUCUGGACCACUUCGCACACUUAUGCGAAAAUUUCGCAUGGUUGUGCCAAAAUUUUCUUUAAAAGGAAAAAGACAAAAUUGCCCCCAAUAUAAUCCCUGUUUUAUUUUGCACGGUUAACUGAAAGUGAGCCUCAUGCGAAAACUCUUAGUCUUCGUUAGUCAUGCGAAACUGAGGAGGAAUACCAUCGGUCUUUUUUCCAUUUCACCCACUCUCUCUCACACAUAUCUUCCUUGCCCUAAACCACGUUGAAACAUCAGGAAUCUGAAUACUUUCAGUUCUUGAUUUUCGGAGAUUUACUCGAACACUCCCGCGAUUUCAAGCAUUUUAGAUGGGAAAUCAAAAACGAAAAUCAUCAGACAUUGAGAAAGAAUUUGUGGUGAUGAAUGACGAAAAUGGCAAAGACACUGACCCCGAAUCACCUCCGGGAUUUUCCCUCUCUGAACCUCCCAUUUCUGGACAUCGAAACCAGAGGAAUGUCGCAAGAUCUUCAAUAGAUAAAGGAAAAUCAAAGAUGGUUGCUACUCCUGGAAAAUUACCGGUGAAGAGAACACGAAGCGUCAGAGCUCGAACUCUUUCAAAUUUUCCGGCAUCCCCUGCUACUCCUUCAGAGCAACAUGUUGUAGUUCAAUCCACCGUUGCUAAAGCCCCUGCUCCUACUCCGGUUACAAAAUCUGCAUCUCCACCAAGCCGACCACCUCAGUUUCAAUUCACGAAAGCACCAAAGAAGAAAUUAGCUACUGGUGCAAGGGAGGACUGCUCAGGUAGAAAAUUUCAUGAAGAAUGGUACUAUGAUUUCAAGGCUUUUGCUGCAUCAUCUAUUACUAAAUUCUCCACGGAGCUUUGUUGUCGAUAUUUUUUGGAGCCAUUCAUGGUGCCUAGACCAUUCUUCUAUCCUCGCAUAAUUCGGGAAUUUUAUCGCACCAUGACUAGCAGAGGAGUCUACCCACCUUCAGUGAUUUAUUUCGAAAUUGAUGGGAAACAAGGUAUGCUAAAUUCUGAAAUGGUAGCAAGAGCUUUGGAUAUUCCUUUCACACCUCCAAAUCCAGCUGAGUUUCAACCUAUUACUCGAAUUGAGGCUGCUGAGAUGGUGCGGAUUGUCUCUCAAAAUCAAUCCAUCUCCACCACCUUCAAUUAAGCUCCAAAGCUUGGUCCAAGUGCAUUUCCUCUUCCUCUUCAUCCACAUUAUGUAUCCUCCUCCAUUCCAUUUUCCAUUUGUCACUCCAUGCUUCAAAAAUCACCUUAAAAUAUCUCCAAAACUCAACAAAGAACCAUUAGAAUCUCUUGCAAGGGUAGCAAUGUAUUACUUGGGCAUAUUAGGCAUAAUUACUACUUAAAAGGUGUGAAACUCAUGAAAGUUAGUAUCUAAAAUAUGUGGUUUUUGAGUAGUAAUCACACACACACAUGCACACAUGAGUAGAAAAUAAAGAAAAACAAAAGACUUUUAACAUGGUUUGAUGAUCAAUGUAAUGCUUAAAUCCACGAAGUGCACCAAUACUCAAGAUCAACAAACCUUUUGGAAUAUGAUUCUAGCCAUUGCAUCACCAUAUGCUUCUACCUACACUACUAUUGCUAAAAAGUUUCACAUGUAUUCCUUAAAGUUUCUAUUUCAUUCAUUCUCAUAUUAAAGAGUGAAUCCAUGUCACAAUGGUAGCAUUAGGGGUACAUGUGUUGAGAAACAAAUAUAAUGUAACGUUUCAAAAAAAAGAUUGAUAUAGACCCACUUGGUAGAUUGUGAAACCAAACUAAGGCAGAUCCUAAAACCUUGUGGGAAAGAGCUUACAUCAAUGGGUCAUGUUCAUGCACUAACAUUAUCAAUUGGCAAUAAAGCAUGAGGUUGUCCAUCAAGUCCCUCAAGCAAUCAUAAGCUUAACAUUUUGAAAACACAAACUUGAUGGAUACUUUUGCAUCUAAGAUUCAAGCAGAGUAUAUGGUGAUUGACAAUCCAUGGACUAUCCUUUUAGCUAGUUGGUGUGAAGUAUUUCUUCUCAUGGAAUCCAUUAUUACUUUCAACUGAUCGAGUUGCAUUUCUAAGAUGUCUCGCUCAUUGAGGUGAUGCAUUAUCCCAUUUUGGAUUGAAUUAUCUUAUUUAUAAAGACAAGAGUCUCCACAUUGUGAUUGAGACACUAAAGAAGGCUUCAUCAUGGUUAUUAGGGUUGUAGAUGAUCGUUGCCAAAUUGGGACCUCAUUUUGUUACAUAAGGCCUGCAAUUGUUGAUUAAACUUGUGUUGUCGUGGUUCUAGUUGUGCAUGAAAAUCCCUUAAAACACUAUUUCUUUCUUUGGUUCAAUGCUUCUGUCCUCUAUCGAAUCCCUUAGUGCAACAUAGGUUAUUGUUUGGCUUUCAAGCGAAUGCUAAAGUAUAAGAAACUAUAAUACUAGAUUGUAAGAACGUAGUCAAGCUAUUUUUUUGUCAUUUUGAUCUUUUUAUUUUCUCUACAAUUUAUCAAGACCACAAUACAAACAAUUAUCAAAAGGUGAAGUUUGUUAUUGGAUCCUUGUUAUAUUAGACACGUGUCAUCCUUAUCAAGUAAGGACAAUCCAAUAUUCUGAUUUGAUCGUGAUGUGAGGACUCAUAUGAGGAAAGAGUCGGGUUAGUAGUUGGUUUUUUCGUUAUUCUUAAAUGAUUUUCUUUUGUAAAUGUUAGUAAAGUAAAGAAACAAUUAACCUAAUGAUAUAAAUGAAUAAUCAAUGAAUAUGAAAUGCGGAUACGUGGGUUUUUUUUUUUUUCCAUUCACACAUCAACCCUUCGUCAUAGUUUAUAAUUCCCACUAUAAAUAAAAUAAAUUAAUUAUUAAUUAAUAGGUUUGCCCUAAUAUUAUAGGUAAUGGUAUUUGUUUGCUUUUUUUUUUUUUCUGUUAAAUAUUAUUAGCCAUGCGCUUACCCAUAUGUAAUGCCCAAAAUAUAUAAAUUAUCAAUUAUUUAUUUAUUUCCCUUUUUCCCCCAACGAGAAAACAUACUUCCCUCUCGUAAUUUUGCCUUUGGAGUGUAGAUCAUAGGAGUUGUCUGCUUCCUUUCACGUGCGCAUUCUUGAAACCCUAGCUCCCACAGAACCCUAAGAUGGCCGGCGGUAACCCCAAGGCCUCUUCACACAAGCCCUCUUCCUCCUCUUCUCACCGGAAGUCUCGCUGGGAGUCCGGCUCCAACCCGGAUAAAAAAUCGGGCGACUCCAAACCACCCAAUUCCUCCUCCACCCCUAAGACCCCUAACAAUGACCCAAAACAAGCCCCUGCUUCCACCUCCGGCUCUUCCCAUCCCAAGCCUCCGGCUGAUUCCGUCCCAACCUCUGCCGCCGCUCCAGUUCGUCCUCCGGUCGCUGGAGCCCCAUUCCUUCCGGACCCUACCACGUUCGGGCCUCCUCCCGCUCCUCAGUAUGGAUUUCACAUGCUUGAACGCCGGACGAUUGUUCUUGCCGAUGGGAGCGUCAGAUCGUAUUUUGCACUUUCGCCGGACUAUCAGGACUUUCCACCACCGCCGCCCCGAGCGAUGGACCCUGCCGGGAGGUUCUUGCCUAUGGGGCCUGGCCACGGCCCCGAACCCGUCGGUCCGGGGCUGGGCCGAUUCCCUCUUACGGGACCGAUGAGUCCCGAAGGGUUCCGCGGCGAACGCGAUGAUCCCUAUUCUCGUGGCAGACAUCAGGAUUACUGGAAUUCUCUAGGGCUAGAUGGCCGUGGACACCCAGAAGGGUCGAUGAAGAGGAAAUACAGUGAAGAGGACGAGAGGGAUAGGAGAGAAGACAGAGACAGGAGAGAUGGCAAUGAUGAGUUUGCUAGGCAAAGGCAGCAGCUUUUACAGUAUGGGAAUCCUAGCUUGAACCCAAAUGGGUAUCCAUUGGGGGGUGAUCGCAGUGAAUAUUUGGCCGGACCUAGUAGCCCCUUCCGGAGAGGUGUUAUGGACCCAAUUCGUGGUGAUGAAUUGAGGUCUUCUAAGUAUAUGAGGAUUGGAGGGGGUUAUGAGGGGUUUUCCCGGCAAGGAGGUGUUGGGGAUAAUGUGGGUCUGAAGCACCAUAAUGUUGAUCAAAAUGCACUGAAAAAAGCUUUUAUUCAGUUUGUAAAAUUGAUUAAUGAAAGUGCAUCACAGAGGAGAUUGUACUUGGAGGAUGGAAAGCAGGGCCCUCUACGAUGUCUAGCAUGCGGCAGGUUUGGAAAAAAUGGGCCGCUUGUACCUUCUUUAUUAUUGAGUUUCUUACGCAUUGUCUAUUUGUCAUUGGUGGUUGUUGCUGUUAUUGCAGACUAUGUUCCAUGGACUUGGGUAGAUGUUUAGGUUUCAGUAGGUGGGUAUGGUCAGAUCAUCUAAUUGUCAAUUAGACCAUUAGAUGGGGUUAAGUUGUGAAUAGGUUUAACCUGUUGUUGUCCAUAUUGUUGGGUUCUGUGAUUUUGCAUGUGUGAUGCGUGUCCAAGUUGUGGAUGUCUUUAAUUUGCUGUUGCUUAAUUGUAGAAUGGGAAGGUUUCAUGUGAUUUAUGACAUAGUAUUUCUGAUUUGCCUAUUACUCGUAUCUUGGCUUGUGUUUGAUGGAGUUAUUUGCAUCUCCUUGUCAGUAUUAAAGACUGUUAGAUAUUUAGUUGUUAACAGGUUAAAAAAUUUUGCCCUCUAUUUCAUAGGAUGAGAAAUUUCUGUGAUGUAGAAUGUCUGAUAGAUCAAGAAAAUAUAUGCGGGUACUUCUAUGAAUAAUUAAUGUGUUUCUCCUGUCCUUUCUAGGUCAGACCUAUUCGGUUCAAAGUUGAUCCAAUCUAUGUUGCGUGGCUUGGUGGGGAGAUUCACAUAUCUUGUAAUCUCUUGACAACAUAAUCUGAAAAAUUAGGAUUCUUGGGCUUUUGGGUUGCAAAGUCAAUGGGGUUUGAUAGAAUUUGUCGUGAUUGAUGGAAUUGUCAUAAUGUCACGUGCUUUAUGCUUUAAUAGAGUGGGGAAUGGUGGUGAGAUUUUUAUGAGUCACGAUGGAUGACUUGCUUUGUAAUAUAUUGUUUUAUGAACAUAAUUAAAACUAUUUUCUUUUUAAUAUUUAUUAGUCGUUUGGCAAGUAUCAAACUAACUUGCUUUAGUUGGAAAACAUAGUAAAUUUGUUCUCACUUUUCCUCAUAUUGAUAGGAUAUGAUUAGGAGUUUCAUUCACUUCUUUCCAAUAGAAUACAUAUUUAUUCAAAAAAGAAUGCAUCGGGAUGUGUUGAAGUUUUGCAUUUUUUUCGGGACUGGUGUUAUCAAAGGUGAUCGCUUGGGUGGCCUAGGCUACCAGGCUAGGCGGGGCAGAUAAAAGUUGCCUCUUGAAGACCCAUACAAGGCGGCUUCAAAGAGGCAACAUCUAGGCAAUCGCCUUAGGAUAAGGCACAAUGCAUAGAGUUGAUCGCCAUUGACCAUGAGUUAAGAUUAAACAUACUUAGAUUAUAAUUUCUGUUGAGAGAGAGAGAAAGAAGAAAAACCUUAAUUCUCAUUCAUGUAUAAUCCUUUGGCCUGAGUCCAAAAUUUAAAACAAGUUUUGUAGGCCCGAAGAUGAAGAAGAAUCUUGGGAUCAACCGAUUGCCAUAAUACACUACAUAACUGUGCAUCUAUCUUCCUCCACUGUACGCGGUCAACCUCAGGGAUAUCUGCCUCCUGUGUAAUCAAGUGAUCCUCAUAUCCUUGACCCAUAAACCAAAGUUCAACAGAGGCAGACCAGGAAAGAUAAUUUUCACUGCCAACUAAUUUCUCCGAAGUAAUCAUAGGAGAUCCAGAUAUGAUAGAGGAAAAAAUGGAAGCUUUAGUAGCCAUAUCCACUUAUCUGGAGAAUGAAGUAUGUUUGGAUCGAAGAGAGCCCUAAUACGGCUUCAGAUUGCGGCGUGGCACCACCGAAAAAGGGAGACGGCCUCAGAUCGCGGCGUGGUACCACCAGAAAGGUAGAAGAACACUUCCCAAGGCACGUGCAGGGAUUGGAGUGGAGAAAAAGUAGUCGGAGCUUCGUCGGAAAGACUGUUUGGAGGGCCGAUGGAGACAAAAAACCCCAAAAGAGGUACGUGCAGGGCUCGGAUGGGAGAACCAGGGAGGUAGGGAGGCUGGUCGGCGUCAGGCGAAGCUGGAGGAGGAGGCGCGUCGCCGGAAAAUUCCUCAUGCGCUGGCGUGUGAGAUGCAGCCACCGGCCGGAAAAUGGCGCGUGGCCGACGCGUGGAUGCUCUUUGGUGCCGGUGCCUUCACAAAAGUUGGAGAUCUCCUCCAGGCGCUCCUUCUGGUAUGGUCGGUGUCGGAAAAAUAGUUCGCCGGAAAGUUCGCCGGCGGUGAGUGGUUUCUAACGACGAUCCGACUGACCGGAAAGUAUUGGGAGAUGGGGAAGGUGACCGGAAAGAAACAUGGUCACCCGAAGGUUUCCCGGAGUUGAUGACACGGGAAACAGGAAAGAAUUAGGUUUUCUUCCUUGGCUCUGAUACCAAUUUAAUCUAAUAUUGGAUUAAACAAAGUAUAAGAUGAAAUAUUAUAUUAUCAAUCAUAGAGAUAAUAAGAUGGAUGACUAUCAAUCUAGUCAUGAUGGAAGUGAUGACAAUUUUCAUUUCAAUGAUGACUAUGAUGAUGAUGAUGCCUAAAGCUUCUCUAGAAUGUUCAAUCUCUAAUUUGUUUUUUAUUUUUCUUUUUAGAUGUUUGAAAAAUUAGAAUAUGCAUUUAGAUAGGAUGAAUAUCUCUAAACAAUAUGAUGUCUCUUAUGAUAUGGGGUAUAAUAAUAAACACUUUGAAUAAUUAUUACUAUUUUGUUAAUUUUAUAAGACAUCAUAAGUGAUGAAAAAUUAAUAGUGUUGAUUGUUGAAGACAACACUUAUAUUGUUCGAGUAUUGAAUAGGUAAAUAUAUGUAUAUUGUUAUUGCUUUACUAUAGUCAGACUAUCACCUUGUUUUUCAAUUGUUGCCUUAGCCUAAAAGAAGUCUUAUUGGCUUGACAUAGCCUUUUGCUUUUGACAACACUGUUCGGGACUGCAUAUUUUAGUGUUGCAGGAAGUUUUUUUCAUGAUCAUGAUUGGUGGAUAACUGUUAUGAUUUAGAUUUCUCAUUUUGGAUUCUUGAUGCUUACCCCUUUUUUUUAGUGAUGUACUCCUUUGUAUCACUUCUUUUUCAUCUGAUGAUGUGGGACAUGGAUCCAAUUGAUAGUUGGAACAUGUAAGGUAAUGCAAGUUGUUGGUAGAUGUUAUAGUUGGGAUGUGCAAGUAGAUUUCCAUACAUAACUACCCUUGUUGAACUUGAUUUGGCUAUUCUUUUGCUGGAUAUCCGAGGCCAUAGUCAUGCUAAAAUAUGUAAUCAUAUCGCAUAUUGAAGGCUAACCUCUCCAUAUAUCUUUAAUAUGAUAAAAAAUUGAGGGUUUAGAGGUUAGAAUCAACGCGUAUAUCAAUUAGGUCCUCAAUGAAUGAUAUGGGAUACAUGAGUGUAAAAAUCUGUGAUUUACCUUGAUUUCAAAUGGAGAACACCAGCAUCUAGUGGCAGAACUUGAAGGAUUUAGUUUCCACCCGUCAUCAUCGUGCAGCAUGAAACCUAUUGUAUUCUGGCAAAGCCUCUAACCUUAGAACAGUUACCUAGAGCAAUUAGCGUCUAUGGUUGCAUUUGCAGUUUCGUUUUUGUAUUAUGAACACCUUAGAAUAGCAUCAAGGAUAUGUGAAAUUUGUAUUGUAUCUUCUUAUUCUGAAAUUAUUCCAAAAUUCAUCAUGCUAUAUUAUCUGCAUAUGAAAAAAAUCAGCAUAAAAGAUAUCAGGUCAUUUUCAAAUUAUUCAAUUUUAAUGAUUGGUUUUUUUUUUUUUGAUAAGUAAGCACAGAAUAUAUUGAUAAAAGGCCAAAAAGCCACACGUAUACAGGGAGUAUACAAUCUAGCUAAAGCCUCACAACCAAAAAGAAAAACAAAAGAACCCCACUAGCCCUUAUGUGGAGGCUAUCCACUCUAGGGAGCCUAUAAGAGACAACGACCUCUCUCCACUAUACAUUCUCGCCUAACCCCAUAAAAUACAGACAAAAGAAUUUUUUAAUUUCUGAAUAUCUAUCACCCACCCCCUCCCCUAAAAGCAAGCCUAUUUCUUUCCUUCCAAAUGGUCCAAAAGAUGUACAACGGUAUAGACUUCCAUAUCUUUUUCCUUUUUUUCCCUACAAAAGGGUCCCUCCAGCUUAAUAAGACCUCCUUUACAGUUUUUGGAAAGACCCACUGAACACCAACCAAAGCACAUAUCAUAUCCCAAAGGACUUUUGCCACUAUACAAUGUAUGAAGAUGUGAUUUACAGUUUCCUCUUCGCAUCCACACAAGAAACACCGAUUAGGGAGAUGCCACCCUCUUUUCUGGAGCCUAUCUAGCGUAAGCACCUUGCCCCAAGUAGCUUCCCAUGCAAAAAACAGAAUUUUUGUUUGGACUUUAUCCACCCAAAUGUUGUUCUUCGGAAAAUUGUUAGCCACAGAAUUUACCACCAAGUUGUAGGCUUCUUUUACUUUAAACUUUCCGUUUCUUCCCCCUUUCCAAAAAACAGCAUCCUCUUCUAAAGUAGGAUUGAACCCCCUCAAAGUAUGAAGCAAAUUACCUACCAUAUCCAACUCCCAAUCAUUAAAGCCCCUCACAAAUCUUAUAUCCCAAUCACCUUGGCCCACAUUCUGGUCCCACAUAUCUUCUACUGUACCAUUCCUAUGAGCAGCCAUCCCAUAAAGGUGAGGAAACCUUUGGGACAGCACUGUACAUCCGCACCAAAGAUCAUUCCAAAAUCUGAUUCUGGUACCAUUCCCCAUAGUAAAAGCCAUAUUCUCCCAACACCAAUCUUUUUCCUUCAUAAUUUCCUUCCAAACCCCUACUCCAAACGUCCCAUUAGCCUUUUUGGUCAUCCAACCAAGUCCCUCUUGCCCAUAUUUCGCCAAAAGCACUUGUUUCCACAGAUUUUCCUUUUCACAAGCAAACCUCCAAAUCCAUUUCCCCAACAAAGCUUUGUUUAACGGGAUUAGCUUCCUUAAGCCAAGCCCCCCCUUUUCCUUCUCCGUACACACAACCUCCCAAUUAACAAGGUGCACUUUCCUUUCUAAGUUUCCUCCUCCCCAAAGAAAAUCCCUUUGCAAUUUUUCUAAUCUUCGCGCAACCGACUUGGGCAUACGGAAGAGAGACAUUUGAUACAAUGACAUACUAGCCAUCGUGCUCUUAAUGAGAAUAAGUCUCCCACCUUUGGAAAUAUAUUGCCGUUUCCAAUGCACAAGUCUUCUUCUCAUCUUCUCCUCCACCCCAUCCCACACGGCUGUACUCUUGUUAGGAGCCCCCAAUGGCAGCCCCAAAUACACAGAUGGCAUAGAGCCCACCUUGCAGCCCAAUUCCGCUGCCAUCUCCUCCAUCUCUUCCAUCUCGCCAACUGGGAUUAUUUCACUUUUCUCCAAAUUGAUCCUUAACCUUGACGUGGCUUCAAACCAAAACAGAAUCCAACUCAGAUAAGUUAGAUACUCCUUCCUGGCUUCACAAAAAACUAUAGUAUCAUCCGCAAAAAGCAGAUGGGAUACAUGCACUGGCUGCCUUCCUCCUCCUCGGAUCCUACAGCCUGACAAAAAACCCCCUUCAACAGCUCUCCUGAUAAGAUUGCUCAACACCUCCAUUCCCAUCACAAAGAGGUAAGGGGAGAGGGGAUCUCCUUGCCUCAACCCCUUAGAACUUGGAAAGAAACCGGUCGACACUCCAUUCACCAACACCGAAAAUUUUAAUGAUUGGUUAGUAGAUAUAAAUUUAUGUUUCAAUUGUUUGCCUUAGAAUUUUAAAAUAUGUUAGUUCUUUUUUAUUAGACUGUUGUUUCUCUUGGAGUAUGAUUUACAUUGUGGGCUUAAAUUCUAACAGUUUAAACUUUUAGGAAAAUUGGUUGUUCUACAUGAUAUCAGAGCUUUGGUUAACAGGAAGUCCCCGGUUUAAGUCUUGCCCCAUCUAUUUAUCUAUUUAAUUAUUGUAAUCACAAAAAAAAAAAAAAAAGUAAUUUGUAUGCUGCCAGUGCAGUUUGUGCCUUCCACGGCAGGUAUGGGGCUUAAGGCUUUGCUUAAUUGGGAUUUAAGGCUUUUCUUACUAUAAUUAAGUUACAUAUGGUCCUUUUUUAGUUCCUUUCGCAUUUUGCUCUUAACAUAUUGAAUGUUUUUGGAUGUUAGAAGGAUCUUUAUGUUGAUGGUUUGAGUUUGUUACUUUUAGAUUGGCUAAGGGCAAAGAUGGUUUUAGUUGAUAUUUUAGCUAUCAGUGAUGGUUUUCAAUAAGUAUUUUCAUCAAACUAUGUUUCUUAGGAUGAUCUACUUGCUCUUAUGUAGUGGUAAGUUGGUCAACUAAUGAUAGAAUUGGUAGAUUUCUUGGGGUAUUGUUAGAAGAAACCUUUUUUUCCUUUUGGUUCUGGACAAAAUAAAUAGAAUGCAUUAAGAGGUGCCUAGCAAAAAAUAAGGGGUUCAACCCAAGUAUACAUGAAGUAUAUAGGAAGUGCACAAAAUGGAACACUAGGGCUAAGCUACCCAAUCCUCAUACUAUCUACAAAACCCAAAAAGGACAACAAAUGAAGGCCCAAAGUCCUUUUUGCCCAUAAAAAUAAAGACUUUAGGUGCAUAUCUUUUAGUUCCAUGCAUUCAAAGUGUUAGGGAGAAAUGGGGAGGGCUUGGAGAUUCCCCAUUUCUUGUUUGCAGAUGAUACUUUGUUUUUUUGUGAGGCCACGUCUUCCCAAAUGACUUAUUUGAGUUGGUUACUCAUGUGGUUUGAGACCAUUUUGUGUUUGAAAAUCAAUUUAGAUAAAAGUGAGCUUAUUUUGGUUGGGAGGGUGUCGAAUGUAAUGGAGUUGGCUGCUAUAUUUGGUUGUAAAGUGGGUGUGCUCCCAACCACUUAUUUGGGGCUCCCUCAAGGAGUUGCCCAUAACUUGGUAGUAGUUUGGGACGGGGUUGAAGAAAGGUUUAGAAAGAGAUUAGCAAUGUGGAAAAGACAAUAUAUUUUUGAAGGGGGAAGGCUAACUCUGAUCAAGAGCACGCUAGCUAGCCUGCCAAUCUAUUUUAUGUCUCUUUUUUGGAUGCCGAGGAGGGUUUGCUUAAGGUUGGAGAAGAUUCAAAGGGACUUUUUGAGGGAAGGUGGGGCUCUAGAGAAAAAGCCUCAUGUAGUGAAUUGGGAUAUUGUUUGUUUAGACAAAAGAAAAGGAGGCCUUCGAGUUAGACGUCUUAACUCUCUUAAUAAGACUCUCCUCUGCAAAUGGAUUUGGCGCUUUGCUAAGGAAAGGGAUGCCCUUUGGAGAGAAGUUAUUUGUGGUAAAUUUGGGGAAUUGGAAGAGGGUUGGUGCUUAAGGAAGUGAGAGGCAACUAUGGUGUUGGUCUAUGGAAAGCUAUAAGGCUUUUGUGGGAGUUAGUCUUUUCCAGAACUCUCUUUGUAGUGGGCAAUGGGAGAAGGAUCAAGUUUUGGAAAGACGGAUGGUGCGGGGAUGAGCCUUUAUGUGUGUCCCUUCCCUCAUUGUUUGCUUUAGCUAGCUCAAAAGAGGCUUGGGUGGCGGAUUUGUGGGUGCACUCUUCUGAGGGAGGUGGAUGGAACCCAAGCUUUUCUAGACCUCUCAAUGAUUGGGAGAUUGAGAUAGUGGAAUGCUUCUUGUCAAGGAUUCAAGACAAAGUGGUGGUUGAGGAGAGAGAGGAUGAGGUGUUUUGGGCAGUUACAAAGAAUGGAUCCUUUUCUGUUAAGUCCCUCAUUUCUAUCCUCGAGGAAGUAAGGGUAAGUGCUUUCCCUACUAGUAUUGUGUGGAAUGCUUGGGUCCCUCCUAAGGUUGGUUUUUUUUGCUUGGGAGGCAACCUGGGGAAAGUUUUGACUUUAGACCAAUUGCAAAGGAGAGGUUGGUCUUUAGCCAGUAGAUGGUUCCUUUGUUAUGCUCGUGAGGAGUCAAUUGACCAUAUACUCUUGCAUUGUGGGAAGGCAAGGCUAUUGUGGGAGCUCUUGUUCUCUUUGUUCAGGAUGUGUUGGGUGAUUCAAGCUUCCGUUAGAGAGACCCUUUUAGGGUGGCAGGGCUCAUUCAUUGGAAGAAAGAGAAAGAAAGUGUGGAGUGCAGCACCUUUGAGCCUCUUUUGGACAAUUUGGAAGGAGAGAAAUAGAAGAUCUUUUGAGAAUAUGAAGCUUUCUGUCCAAAGGCUGAAAGUUCUUGUUUUUGUGCAGUUUACUAUCUUGGACAAACAUGUUUAUAGAACAUACUUCUAUGUCUUUAGUUGAUUUUAUUGAUUGGUUGGGGACAGAUUGAGGGAGGGAGUAUUUUUUGUUUUCCCCAUCCUUUUUGGCGCUAUUAGGCAGCCAUUGUAUGCACUAUGUGUACUUUGGGGUGCCCCUUUUGGUGUUUUUAUUCAAUUUGCACUUGCUUAUCAAAAAAAAAAAAAAAAAAAAAAAAACUUUCAGUUCCAUGUAAGGUUACUCUAGGUCUUCAAAAGAUCUUCCAUUCCACUCUCUCCAAGUGAACUAUAAAAAAUACAUAAUGGAAUCAUCCUCCAAAUAGCUGUGUGCUUGGUACAGACAAAAAAAGCCCUCUUAUUGAGAAGGAUUUCUCUAAUCAAUUGGGGAAACAGUAACAAAGACAUGUCAAUAAGAGAAAUGAUCGUAGACCACAAACCAUAGGUCUAUUUGCAGUGCAUGAGAAUGUGGGCUGCCAAUUCCUCAUCAUCUUUGCAAAGACAAAACCUUGCAAUGGAGGCUCUCACCAUAGAAUCACUAUUGGUCACCACUUGAAUAAAAUUCUCCUUUCUAUGUUCUUCCACCAUAGAAUCAAACAAUUCAAAAAAAUUUCUACAGGCUUUCAAAUUGUGGAAGUAUCCAUGGUUUUCAAAAAAACAGUUCCCAUUAUACUAUUUUUAAGAAAGUUUGUAAUAGACCAUCCUAUUUCAUCACUCCAACCAUUGGCUAUAAGAUUACAUCCAAUUUUUCUUCACUUAAGCUUUAUAUUUGUCUAGAGUUUCACUAAUAUUUUCAACUUCUUUUUUCAAAGAAGAAACUCUUAACUACAUGAUAAAUAAAAUAGCUAAUUUUAAUUCCUUCCCAUCUUUAAUAGCAGAAUUGAUCCUCUUGUGAAAUAAAGAAAUCUUUAACCAAACUAAGGGCCAAAGCAUUCCCAUAAAUAAAUCUAAAAAUACUCACACUUGAUCACAAUCUCUCAUCAAUUUAUUCAAAAAAAUUUUCUUUGCCUUUUCCUUUUAACUCUUUCUUUCAAGAAAGGAUGCAUAGUUACUUUUUAGCAAUUUUUGCUUUUUCUUCUUUGAAACAUUCUUCAUCAACUUCUUCAUAGUUACCAUUCUUUUUCCAACACAAUCAAAUUUUUUGUAAGCAUCUCUUAAACUUCCUCCAAAUUUUUUGUACAGCACAAAACACAUUUGACCACCCAUGAAAAUGUUUUCUAAUUGGGCAAUGAGAGGUCGGGGACCAGCUCAUUUUUGGUUGCUUUCAAAUAGUCCGUCAUGAAACCAUUCACAUUUCCCAAGGAGCUUUUAUAGGGGGGAGACAAAUUUUAGAUGUUGUAUUGAUAGCCAAUGAAAUAGUAGAUAAGAAAAGGAGAUCAUGGGAGAAAGGAGUGGUCUUCAAAAUUGAUUUUGAGAAGGCCUAUGGCCCACAUGGGUUAGAGGUUUUUGGACCAUGCACUAGAUAGAAAGGGGUUUAGUACUAGGUGAAAAUCAUGGACGAGGGGAUGUUUGUUUUAGGCAAGUUUUGUAGUCUUAGUGAAUGGAAAUGCCAAAGAAUGGUUUAAAGAAACCUGAGGAUCAACACAAAGAGCAUCCGCUUUCUCCUUUUCUUUUCAUCAUUGUAACAGAUGUUUUAAGCAGGACGUGGAUAAGAGCAGAGGAAAUGGGUAUUCUGGUAGGGUUCCUAGUAGGGAGGCGCGGAACUAGAGUGACAUUAUCUUUUUUUUUUUUAAUACAAAUGUGGAAAAGUUGCAAAAUCUUGAGUUUAUCCUAUUGGUUUUUGGGCUCAUUUUAGGACUUAAGAUUAAUUUAUACAAGAGCACAUGUUAGGAAUCAAUAUGAGUCCAAAUUUGAUUUCUAGCUUGGCUUCAUUGUUAGAAUGUAAAUCUUUGAAUGUCCUUUGGCCUAUUUGGGUCUUUUACGAGGGGGGAAGCCUAAGAUUGAUGUCUUUUUGGGACUCAGUCUCACUAAUUUAGUCUUGUUUGUUUUGCAUCCCUAGUUAUUUCCUUUUGUGGUACAAGAUCCCAUCCUUAGUGGAAACAAGGAUUGAGAAAAUGUGAAGGGAUUUUUUCUUAGUCACUUGUUAUUUACAUGGUCUUUAAAGUUUCCUUUCUAGAACAAGAUAAACAGUUCUAUUAUCCAAGGUCUGUAGAUUGCCUACUUUCCUUGUUUUAAUGAGGCAUUACUUCUUGUUUCAUUCCAUUUCAGUGUUUUCUUCCCCUCGCUUAAUGCUUUGUCUAAGUUCCACUUGUGCAUUUUUGAAGAUACUUAUGCUGUUUAUUAAAGCUGGGUGUUAUGAUUCUGAUGGUUUAUCUAUUGUUUGGUUAUAAUUUUUGUUUAAGGUUUUCUGGAAGAUACAUCAUGUGAAUUUCCUACCAAACUAUACUGCUUUUGUUUAUGGAUCUAAACCUAUUAGUUAUGUUCUAUUUCUUUCUUUUUUAACCUUUGGUUCAUUUGCUGUGUUUGGCUUCUGAAGUAGUUUGUUUGCCAGUUCUGUGUUCAAGGUAUAUUAGAAAUAAGAUACACUGCAUGUUAAGCCUACCAAGUUGAAAAUGAUGCUUUAAAGACAUGUUUUGAGGAGCAAGAGCUACUAUUCUAUUUGCCCAUCAAAAAAAAAAAAAAAGGAAAAAGAAAAAAAAAACGAAAAGAGGAACCACUAUUCUUGUCAUGUAACAAGCUAACCCCUAGGGCUCAUGGAGCUGACCUGAAGUAGUAGAGAUUUAGGCUUUGUUGAGUGAGUUUAUUAUUAUUGGUGUUCUCCAGCUUUUUGCUUUUAGUGCACAAUUCUUCUUCCAUCUUUUGUCUUUCAGUGCACAAUUUUUUUUCCCCUAUUUUAGGAUGACUUUUCUUUGCCCAGGCCUUUUAGGAUUUGUGUUUACAAGUGCUUAUUUCAAAUUUUCAGUUAAUAUGGAGUCAUUAGAAAUGUAGCCAGACAGUAUGCUAAUUAUUUUCCUUUUGAUAGGAGACGGUGGACUAACUGUCAGAAAUUCUAUUCUAAUACUAGGAUCAUAUCUUGAUUGAGUGCUUAGUGAUUUAUGAUUGCAAAGUCAUGCAUACCAGUGGUUUAUGACUUACUGAAAGUUCAUACAGAAGAUAUGUUAAAUUACCGAUAAUGUCUAGAUUCAACAGACCUCAAAUUUGAGAUAGUGUAUUGUUUAGUAUGUAGUCUUCCUUACUGGUAUUUGCAAUUAUAGUUGUUGGAUGGAUGAGAAGGGUGGUUACAUUCUUCUAAUUGUAUUCUAAUGUGGCAGAUUUUUUGCAUUCCUUUGAUUUAUGAACAUAGAUCCAUCGUAAUAUUUUGGUUCUUCAGAUAGAUGGCAGAAAAUGAGCAUGCAUAUCCAUUUCAAUUGGUUUGGCAAAGAAUUGCACAUGGCUUCUGAUUUGGUCCUUAAGGCCUAGCAGGUGUUAAGCACCAUUGUAGUGUAUUGUUUUGGAAUCCCUGCAUGUUUGUUACCUUCUUUACUGUUUAAGCAGAUGUAAAGUGCUUUUAGGGAUUGGUUGCAACUUGGAAGUAGUUUCCUGCUCUGCUGUUUUUAUUGGCUGAUGAUUACUUAAUUGUCAAGAAGAUUAAGAACAUGUGUAAUAGAAUGUGUUGUAUCGGUUUUUCUGAGGGAGGUUUAAUUCAUGUUAUGGAAGCUUAAUUCAUGUUUUUAUCUUAUUUAUUAGCGAGGUUUGUACAUCAGUUCCAGCAAACUGGUUACACCAAAAAGUAAUGGUGGUGCUGUUCUCCUAGCAUCAUUGGUUCAGUGGCUUUGUUUUUUAUUUUGGUUUUAAUUCUUAAGUAUAAUUUAAAAGGUUAGUGCACAUGUUUUAUUUGGAAGUUAGGACUAAAUUAAAUAGAGAUAAAUAGUUUCUUACAUGUCUCUCUACAUCAUUGGUAGAUGUAUUCUGGCUUUGAGGGUGAUUUUGUUUCGACAUUUUAGAGUUCAUAUUUUUUAGUUCUAGUUACAAGACUUUUGCUGCUCACUCUCUAAUUGUCUUGGAUGGCACCUUCUUCUGAGUCCUGACACAUUGAAAGCCAUGCUGUCUUUAUAUCGAUAUUAUUUUAUUUUCUGGGUUGGCUCCAUUUAUUGAUUCCGCCUAUGUGAUCCCUUCAAUUGUUUGUAUGAAUUUUUGCCCACAUGAGGUCUUCUAUCAGUAGCUGCUUGUAAAUAGCUGUAUUGGUUUGAAAUUAUUAAGUUUAUAUUUCACAACAACCUCAAUUUAGUUGUCACUUUCUUGUUUCAAUCACUUUGGGUUGCCAACACAAAUCUUGUCCCGACAUCCCAAUCCAUUCUGAGUGAAAAUUUUGGUGGGAGCUUCUGAUUUCUACCACACAGGUUUCUCUCAUUGCUUUUCUCACUUAUGCAUUCCCCUAUCUAUUCUUUUGUAAGUAAGAUCUCUCUAAGAGUUUAUUCCUUGCAAUUAAUAAUUUCUUCUUACAUGUGCUCUCAAUGAUGUUUCUCGAACAUAUUUAAUUGAUUGAAAUUGUUGCUCAUCAUAAAGUGGUACUACUACUAUAUAUAAAAAAAUUGAUUUUGCUUUUCCUACUAUGUUCACUCUCUAUUCCACCUAGUGUUAUCAAAAGUGAUCGCUUGGGACACCGGGGCCAGAAGGGGCAGAUAAAAGUCGCCUCUUGAAGGCCUAGGCAAGAUGGCUUCAAAGAGGCGAUGCCUAGGUGGUCACCUUGGGAUUAGGUGUAAGGCAUAGAGGUGGCGCCUUUGACCAUGGGUUAAGAUUAGACAUACUUAGAUUGUAAUUUAAUUCACUUUAACUUUAGAUUAAACAAAGUAUAAGAUGAAAUAUUAUAUUAUCAAUUAUGGUGAUAAUGAGGAUAGAGGGCUAUCAAUCUAGUCUUGAUGGAAGUGAUGACAAUUUUAAUUUCAAUGAUGAUUAUGAUGAUAAUGAUGAUAAUGCCCAAAGCUUCUUUAGGAUGUUCAUUCUUUUAUUUUGUUUUUUAUUAUGAUUUUUAGAAUGUUUGGAAAAUUAGGAUAUGCAUUUGGACAAGGUGAAUUUCUUUAAAUAAUAUGAUGUUUCUUAUAAUGUGGGGUAUAAUAUUUAAUACUUCGAAUGAUUGUUACUAUUUUGUUAAUUGUAUAAGACACCAUGAGGGAUGAAAAAUUAAUAAUGUUGAUUGUUGAAGACGACACUUAUAUUGGUUAAGUAUUGAAUAGGUAAAUAUAUGUAUGGUUUUUAUCGCCUUACUAUUGUUAGGCUAUUGCCUUGUUUUUGGCCUUUUGCCUUAGGCUUAAAGGAGUCAUAUAGCCUUGACAUUCCCUUUUGCUUCUGACAACACUGAUUCCACCUUAAGCAUCUUGUUUGUGCUCAGUCGAUUAACCUAUCACUUUCAGGGAAGUGACAAAGAUAUUUUCUUGAUAAAGGGCAAAGUUGUUGCUCAACAAGGGAUUUUUUGGGACCAUGAGUUCUGAACAAGGGCUAUUUUCAUGCCUUAUUGGGAUUUCAUUGGACCAUGUACUCUCAACAAAGGAUUUUGUUGUUAUCUUAUUGGUACUUCAGUUAUCAUACUUGGCAGUGUCUGACUCCACAAAUAAUGGAUCUGGUGUAUUUUGUAGGAGUUUUAAAUGUAGGAAUUUGGAUGCUGAUGGUAUCUGGUUGAUACAGGGAUGAGAGAAUUCAGUUUUUUGACUAAAUUCUAUUUGUUCAAGUUCCUGAUAAGCAUUUUUGUUGAUACUUGGAAGAUAUGGUAUUGAUGUUAUUACUUUCUGGGUUGUGGUAUUGAUUUCUAUCUGGAAUGUAAGGUUUAAAGCAUUGGUUUUUAGUGAUUGGUUUAUGUGGUUUUGUUUAUGAACUUCUUCCUCUGGGGAAUAGACUAUUAAGUGCUCCAUUGGUUCUAUAGCUGCCAAUGGAGUAUGCUACCACAUAUUUUGCUUUGAAUCUAGCUGAUGCUUUAACUUGUAUGCAGCUGAGUCAGGGACGUCGCCCUUUUUCUGAGAUUGUAUUCGUAGUCCCUUUGUUGUUGUUUUAGAAGUGCAGUGUGUGACAGUUUGGUUUCUUUGUUUGGUAGUUCACACUUGCAGCCAUAAGUUGUUGUGACUUUGGUGCAUUCAUAGUUUUAAAAGGCUCAAGGCGCACCAAGGCGCAAAGUAGUCCUAGAGCCUGAGGCGCAAGGCGCACCUAAGGCGCGGGCUUUAGUGAAGUGAGGCGCACCCUAAUUUACUUAUAUAUUUUCUCCUAUUUUCCCCUAUAUAUAUUUUUUUUUCUUCUUCUUCUUCACUUCUCCAGCACGGCUGAGGCUAAGGCACGAUUGGGAGUGCUCUCGGGUUGAGAAAGACCAGAAAAGGGGGCUGGAAUGGAGGAACAGGCCAAAACGGCGUCGUUUUGGCCUCUUUUUUUUUUAAAAAGGAACAGGGUCCAAAACGACGCCGUUUGGUCCCACAAAUUAAAAAAAAAAAAUUAGGGCUGAGGGUGUAGAGUUCUGCAACCCGACGGGAGGAAGAAGAAGAAGAAGAAGAAGAAGAAGAAGGAGAAGGAGAAGGAGAAGGAGAAAGAGGGGUGCGUACCUGGUCGGACCGUCGGAGGCGACUCAGGCGAGCGCCUUGCGCGCCUAAGCGGCGCCUUCCUGAAGGGGCGUCGCCUGCCUUCAGGCGAGGCGCUGGAGGGUGGCGUCACGUUGCCCCGAGCCUAGGCGCGCCUUUCACAACUAUGGGUGCAUUGUGAGCAAUAGAAGUGUAAUGAACAUAGGUUUUUGCUCAACAAUGCAAUGUAAAUAGGUUGUGCAUAUUGCCCAUGUAAUAUGUUUUUCUUGGUAUUUUGAAUAGUUGUGAAGUAAAGUUCAUGAAUCAUCUUUUUGUUUUGUUUGUUUGUUUUUUUGGUUAGUUUUUCUUGCUGUUAGUUUUUUAAAUAUUGUGGCUAGCUAGGUAGCACUAUAAUUGACAAUGCAUCUAAUAUUUUAUCUGGUUGUAAAUUAGACAUACUGGGUGUCCAGUGCAACAAAUUUGUUCAAAUUUCUGGUGCUUGCUGUCUAAGCAGUAAUUUGUAGAUGUUCAGUUCAAUGUCUCCUUGUUGAUGCUUCUGCAAUAUACUGUUCUAUUUUGGACAUCGCUGUCCUCUGAUCAGUCAUUAUAUGCUAUAUUUGUAGAUUGUUACAAGUAACAAGCCAUUUAGAAGGAAAAUAUUGGUUUCUCUGGGUUUGGAGAUUCAUUUUUCUGUUGCAUGCAUAUACACCCCUUAUAAAGCUGCGCUACAAUUCUCAAUGGCUACCCCUUUAGCUUUGUGUAUCUACCUCUUUGGGUUGAGGCCAAAACUAUGGCUUCUUUACGAGUGGAAUGGCUUGCAGCCUUAUGUUUUAAUGCAUAUGAAUAGACCAGAUGCUUAAAUGAUUCAAUUUCAGUGUGAUGCAAUCUAACUCCCUUGGAUUACAGCAUUCUCAGAAAAUUGGGGGGUGCAAGUGGUAUCAAAAGUUGAAGUGAUGUAAUCUAUGAAAUCAUCUAGAUGAUCCUUUGCUUACAAUAAAAAUGUACUCAUCUCAAAUGCUUGGUUGUUAAACCUUUUUUUUUUUUUUUUGUCCAAAUGCUAGCAGAAACUUAGUGGAAUGAUCUCAUUCUGUGUUCAAAUACCCCUUCAUCCUUUUUUUAAGUUUAUGCUUGCUACAUAGAUUGGUUAAACCCUAGGAUUUUGUUCAAUCUGCAUAAUGCACGCAUGAUUUGUUACCUUAUUUAUCCAUAUGUGCAUAUUGCUGUAAACUUGUGACGUAUUAUUCUCGUUGCCUUGUUGGUUUAUUUUUGUAGACUUACGGUAAUGUGUGAGAAACCUGAAAUAUUUUUCUUCAAUACCCGUGAUAUGCAACAUUUCAGGUCUUCUAAAGAUUUUCCAGAUAUGCAUGCUCUUGUUAUGCACACAUACAACUCCAACUCAGAUAAUGCUAACUUGCUUGUGGAUCACUUGGGCUUACACAAAGCUCUGUGUGUUCUAUUGGGAUGGAACUACUCAAUGCCUCCUGAUAACUCAAAGACAUAUCAGUUUUUGUCUGCUGAUGAAGCAGCAGCAAACCAGGAUGAUCUGAUUAUGUGGCCGCCCACAGUCAUCAUUCAUAAUACAGUUUCAGGAAAGGGUAAAGAUGGGCGCAUGGAGGGUUUGGGAAACAAAGCUAUGGAUAAUAAGCUUAGAGGUAUAACAUGCCCCUUCAUUCUUUAUCCUCAUUGCUGCUAUUUAAUGUUGGAAUGACCCUCCAAAAUAGUUGGCCCUUUAGUGAGAAAUCCUACGCAUGCAUUGAAUGCACCAAAUUUUUUUUUUUUUUUGCCAUUGUUCAGUAAGUGCAUAUAUACUUCUCAGAUGCAAUAGUUUGUUAGAUUCUGAUUACCAUGGUCAUAUGAAUCUUCCUUGUAGGUUUAUGCUGGUUUACUCCAUCCUCUUAUUGAUGAUUGAUAUAAAUUAAGAGAUUGCUUCUUUGAGUGAUAUGAUUUUUGUUUUGAAGUAGGAAUAGUUUCAGUUAGUCCCUCCCUGAACUAAUUUGUAUUAGGCGUCAGGCACCCAUGUUAAGACACAGUGCACAUCAUCCACAUGGUGAACCAUCAAUUCAUUUGUAUUAGGUGUAAGGACUCCUAGCAUCCGAAAUCUAAUGUCAUUUGAAUGAUCUUAUGGUUAUCUUUUAAGAAGAACAAGCACAUCAUCUUCAGUAGGGUUGUCUCAAAAGGCUCUGGGAAGACUAUUUUUAUUAUGCAACUGUUUUUCUAAUAUUGAGGCCUGAUUGGUUGUCUGACAAAGUUUGACCUUGAUGUAUAGUGAAAUAGUUAGAUUUGUUGAUACAUAACUUUGUUGAUGGGUGUUGCAAAUAAUCAUCAUUAUCAGUGUCCUUGCAUUCUUACCUUUUCAUUAGAUGCAAAACAUAUAGGGAAAGAACAACCGGAAAAACAAACUAACCAUAUACAGUACAAUGCAAGUCAUCAAUAGACUCCAUUUCUCAUUUUCUCUUUCUUCAACCUGUAGCUUCAAUCCUGUAAUACUGGAUGGCUUAAACAAAUAUUCAAAUUGCCAUUUUUUUCCCCUUGGAAGAUCCUUAUUUUCCUUUCUCUCUGAACUACCCAAAAUAGCCAAAGCACCCAGUUCCUUAAGGUGUAAUGCUCUCCUCUAAGUGAAGGCUUUCUUCCUUUCAGAAUUCUACAGAAACUUAAUCUUUUUUUUGAUAUUGCUUCCAUUUCUGAAUACAUGGAUUUAUUUUAAUGCUAUAUGAAUAUUCUCUCUGAUUUGUAAUGUACAAAUUUCUUUGUUCAUAAGUUUAUGCAUUUCUUAAGGCAGGGGCCCAACUUGUCCAACUUGGUUAAGAUUGUUCUCCACCCUACCCAAAUCAACUAAAGCUUGGUCUUGACCAGGCUGUUCAGGUUGGACUAGAAUAAUUGUAUGUUGUCUUUUGUUAAUGCCUAUGAAGUCCAUUGAGGAAAAACAUUUAGAAGAAACCUCAUAGAAUAAGAUAUUAAUUAAAGGUGGCUUGAAAGGGCUUCUAUAAUUAAUGAACUGAAAACAGUUCUAACCAAUGUCAAAUUACAUCUCAAGCCAACUAGCACAACAUGUAAAACCUCUCCCGUAAGUAGAGCCUUCGCAUUUAUUCUUAAAUAUAUUUGUUAAGAAUAUUAAUAUAAUGGAAGCAAUUCAAAAUGUGUUUCAAGUUUGAAUUUUUUAAUUAAUUUUUAUUUUUAUGAUCAGUGGCUAUCUUAAUGUUGGACCAUCUGAUUUUGAGAAACGGAAGGCCUUUAUGAAUUUGGCCCUGGCCAGUCAAUUUUUGCUAAGCACUAUCCUUUGUUUGCAAUGGUAUCUGUGGCAUGGCUCAGUGCAUUUGUUAUGCUUUCAUUUACAUUGUGAGUUGGCAGUGGCUUGGGGAUACUCAACUUGGGACAAAGGGGGGGAAUUUUGUGGACAGUAUCUAUUUUCACUACUUGUGAUCCUUUGGCAAGAAGGAAAUAGUAUCUUUUUUAAGAUGGGAAUGAGGGUAGAGGUGUUCAGCCUUCAUGUAGAAUUGUAAAGUGUUUUGUAUAGCUCUCUUUUAGAGGGUUUAGCAUGUGGUGAUUUACGCCUGUUUACAGGUUUGUAUUUUUUGCCUAAUGCCCCAGGAAAAUCUGCAUAAAGGUGAGCCCAAAUUUGCCUGAUAUUCUGUCCAGGUUAAAUUAGAAGUAAGAUGCCUUCCAAAUUUGAAGAGUUUGAUUCUGCAUAACAGUUUCCAGUUUGAUUUUAGAGUUUUAGAAUUCCAAAUUGAGUUUAAUGAUUCAUGUUUCAUUUGGGAAGAAAUUUAGAGUUAUGUUUGGUUCUCUCAUCUGAAAGCAGUUCUCAAGAACAGGUUAUUGAAACUAAAAACAAAGAACAGUUUUAGAAUUUUUGCUUGAAAUCAUGUUUGGUAAAUAUAAAUUCAGAACAGUGUUCAGAAAGCUGAGUAUUGUUAAAUUUGUUUGAAAAUCUAUUGGAGAUAGUUCUGAAAAGAACAAUAAUUGAAUUUUUUUUACUAUUUUCCAGAGUUCCAAUUUCUUUCAUUUUUAUUAUUUUUAGUUGGUUAAGUUGUACAUAUAUAGGCAUGCUUAAAAUUUAAUGCACAUGUCUAUUUCUAGCCAUUAAUUUGCAAGAUCAAAUAAAAUAAAGUUUCCAUGUAGGAGACUGUUGGAUCUUUACCUUACUUUGAAGCUGCUUGGAUAUUUCUUUACAUUAUUUUAUAAUGGUUUUUGUUUCUAUAUUAGUUCUGUACACCUGUUUCCCUUGAUUUUUAGAGAUUAAUUUCUUGUAGCAUACAUAAAAUACUAAGAUCUCAUGCACAUGUCCAAGCUCAAAGGAAAGAUGUUGCUUUAGGUAGGCAGUUGGUUCAAAACCAUUGUUACAAUGUUUUCCUCCCUUCAAAUCAUAAUCUAAUUUAUAGACAAAUCUUAUUCAGCUUUUCUUCUGAGAUUUCUAUUGUAAUGUUGUGCUAUUUUAUAAAAUCAAGCUACUAAACACAGGAGAAAAGGGGGUUGCUUUUGAUAGAGAGUUGCCUCAAAUCUUUUCUCAAAUGUUUAAGCUAGUGUCAGAAAGGAAUUGUGUAGGCUGUUGCUGAGCAGUUUAGAUGAGUCUAGUUGAGUCAAAAGCAAAUUGCAGACAAUUUUGCAUGGAUGGUAGGGAUUAGCACCCAAUGUUUUAACACAUACAUUCAUACAUGACACUGGUGACUCAUUAAGAUCAUUCAAUUGUUACACUACCUGUUGGAUUGGGCAGGCAUGAAAUUUUUCAACAAUUAUAUAGAUGGAUUGAUAGGUUGCAAUGUUUGAUAAUUAAUAAUUUCCUUCCAAUACACUGGAUUCUGUUAGCCUUAAUGUAAUUUUUCUUGAUUGUGUCGAGUUGAGUUCUUGUUGGUUGCUAGAUUGCUGAAAAUGCUUAGAUGUUUUGCUUCAGCAAAGGACUAACCUGACUGUUUAGUGACCUUGAACAGUAAUAUACUUCCAACAUUUGGAAUUGACGCCUCGAUUUCUUUUCUUUUUUUUUUUUGAUAAAUUAAUGUUGAUUAUGAUUUUUUUUACAUGUAGGUUAAAUUUUGAGUAUGGAAUCUUUCCAUUUAUCUUUCUUGUAUUUUGCAAUGGUUUAGACUUUGUACUCUUUUUAUUUGUUUCUUCUCUUUACUGUUAAAGACUUUAUACUCUUUUAUUCAUUUCUUCUCUUUAAUGUUAAAGACUUCAUACUCUUUUAUUCAUUUCUUUUCUUUUAUGUUAAAGACUUUAUACUCUUUUAUUCAUUUCUUCUCUUUAAUGUUACUUGUUAAGUGUUUGUCCAAUAAUGAAAACCAUGCAAAGCAUUAACUGUUUUCAUUGCACAUGAUCUCAUCAUUUUAGUUUAGUCUUGUUUAAUCACCACUUGGUUUACUCCUAGGUUUCCUUGGGAUUGCACAUUCACCCAAUGUAUGUGUUAUGCAUUUGUCUCAAUGAUCCGAACCUUGUUGUGCUCCUUUAAUGAACAUGUUUUUUCAGUUUCCUCUCAUUCUACUCCUUGAAGCAUGGAUUGUCAGGUUUAGAAGCCAAAUAGUAUUUGUUACUUACGGCAAAAGUAUGAUUUACUGUUGUUAUAUAAUAGGCUUUGGUCAAGCUUUGGUUAUGCGGUGCUGAAUUCAAUGCAAUUUGAGUCAAAUCAACAAGGAUUCAACACAAAUAGAAUUUAUGCUUGGACUGAUUUUAUAAUUUCUCAUGCUCAAGUUCCAAUAAAAAAAGAAAAGAGAAAGAAAAGCUUUGUCUGUACUGUUUAUGUAGGGUUUUUUUUUUUUUUAUCAUGGGAGGUCAGUCACGUGAGAUGGCUUACAUCAAGAGUUUGAGAAAGUGGAGCAGAGUGAAAGGCGACAGAGGGUUGGAGAGAAUGACAAUAAAGUCAAGGAGAGAAUUAGGAGAGUAGGAAUCUCUUCUUCUUCUUGUUGGAUGGGAAUGAAGCCCUCUAUGGUACUUGAAAAUAGUAACUCUUAUGUUAAUUGUCCUGGAUUAAAGAUAGGAUGAUCCCCUUGUUAUCUCGAUUGAAAUGGACUUGAUGCAUAUCAAUUCCGACUCAAUGAGCCAACGCUAACCACCAAAUCAAAACCAUCAAGCCAAUCCUAAGGUGCUCAGUGGUUACCCAAGUUAUGUGAAGUCCAUUUUGAGCAUGCUCUCGACUUGAGGCCUAUUCCAAGAGUCAUUAAUUGGGUUAUCCAUCCUUAGGUUUAAGAAUGACAUUGUUGCGCCCCCAUAAUACCUCUCUCAACUUGACUCCCCUCCCAAUAUGAUGUUCCUGUGACUCGAACCCUUAACCCGUAGCCCUAAUACCAAUUCUUGAAUUGGACUUUGACCAUCUUAUCCAAAAACCAAUUGAUGUCUAGUGAAGGUGGGUCAAACAUUUUAUAACAUUUGACAUCACACCUCAUGGGCUUGUUCAAAGAGCCAUUUUUUGAGUGACCCAUCCUUGGGCUUAAGAACAGCAUUGUUGCACCCCAACACAUCUAUUCACAGUUAUUUUGGAGAGAAUGUGAACUAUUCCUUGUAACAGAAAUAAAACAAUCAUCAUUUUUAAGUGCUUAUGGUGUCACUUUUACCACAAGGUUGAGUAGGAGAGACCCCCUCUCUUUCCAAUAUGAGCAGGCAUUCUUAUUCCAUGGGCAUUUGAGUUGCCUGAAGAUUUACUUGGAGAUAAAUCUGUGUUCAAAAUGUUGUAGCAUUGCAGCAUAAGGAGAGAUGGAAACAAGCAAGCACAGGAGAAUGUAUGGACAUAAUCAGUUGAUUCCUAGAGGUAAAGGGCACUCAAAGUCAUGUUAAUGGAGACCUGUCUUGGUCAUGUGACACACGCAAUAGUCAUGUUAGUGGAUAAUGACCUUGAUCAUGUGACACUAAGUCCCAGGACAUGUGCUAUUCUAUAAUUGUAAUGCCACGAUAAAGCCUUAAUCUCAUAAGCUGAUUGUGUUCAAUACCUUGAUCAUGUGACACUAAGUCCCAGGACAUGUGCUAUUCUAUAAUUGUAAUGCCACGAUAAAGCCUAAAUCUCAUAAGUUGAUUGUGUUCAACACCUGCAUCAGUGGGACUCAAUACGCACUUUAUGCUAUGUUAGUCACAACUUAGUUGCCAUUUAAUGGUCUGUUAAAUAGAGAUUUUCUGUAAGGUACAGGAUGGGUAUUACCCCAUGUGUUUGCUGAUUCCUUUGGCAUCCCGAUUCUUACUUUGUUGUCGAAAUUGUAUUAAAAUUCUCACAUGUUCAUCUGUGAAUUCCUAUCUGUUAGUGGAAUGCAUUUUUCACCAGUAACAAAAUGAGGUGGGCAUCUGCAUGUGAGCUACCUUCUUAGGUUAUAUCUGGUGAACUGCUUUUCUAUUUAUGUCCUCUAUUGAUUGGUUUGCUAGAAUCUGUCACUUUCAACAAAUCGUGUGAUGGUUUGAACAUCUACGGGUUGCCAUUCUGUAGAGCCUCAUAGUGCUAGAAACUAUUUGGAUGGGUUGAAAUUGUCUCUUCUCAGGAUAUGAAAAUGCUAGCUAAUUGGUGAUUUUGAAAGGUGCCAUUUAUGGCUGUUGGGUGCGUUAUUAUGAAACUGACAACCUAGAUGAAUCCAUCAGGAGGAUUAUAUCUUUACAGAUGAUGACCUUUUGGGCUUUGUUGUCCACGCCUCAUUUGAAAGUCUUCUUUUAAUACAAGUUAUUUUUUCUCUUUUAUGUUUGUGGCUUUCAGAUC